GGCGGACCUACCACAUGGAUUAUUGCACUCCAUCAUUGUCCUGUUGGGUUCAACUCGUGACCUUCUUGCAUUCAUCGCCACCUGCCCUAGCUGGUAUGCCGCAUUCAUGUCAAUCAAAUCUACCUUAGGCGAGCUCUUCCCACCUGUUAUUUUCCGGAACUGUGCCGACCAGACAAGCUCAGCUGUCUCUAACAUUGGAAACACAUGGGAGCUCAUUGAUCCUGUAUAUCCAAGUACUCCGUUGUGUCGCUUGACCCCUCCAAGUAUUUUGAACAAAAUGGCAGUCAUCAAAUGUUCUUAUGGUCAUGCGAUUUUCUGCUACAAGAGAUCCCUCUUCAUUAUGGACGUGCUCACUGGCACUACGGUUGCAGCUCCACCUUUUCCAUUGACUCAACUAUGCUACAGAACCUUCAUAUCUCCAGAGGCGUCACCAGAUUCAUAUCUAUUUGUCAGCAGCCCGCACUGCCUGUAUGCUUGGCGAGUUGGGAGCCCCUCUUGGUUGCACUGCGAUUUUCUAAAUGCACAUUUGAUCAAGGAGAUGGUGUCCUUCAAAGGCCGGGUCAUUAUGAGGAUGCGUCAAAAACUAUACACCGUGCAUUUGACACCUCAGUUUCAUGUUGAGCUACUAAGACUUGAUUGCAGAGAUUAUAUGGACCCGUACGUGCUUUCUGGAAAUUUGGUGGCUUGUGAAGACACACUUCUCCUACUUGGUCGUAACGGGAAAGCCUUCUCCAUUGACUUCUCAACUGAACCUGCAAAGUAUGUGAUCGUGGAAGAGGGAGGCUUGAAGAAGUGGGCGUUCUUCUUGGGCGAGAAACGUACUGGACAGCCACGACUCUUAGUGAAUCCAGAGAGAAUGGGUUUAGGGGGUGGCCUUGUCUAUCAAUUGGAUGAAAACGCUCGAGUAUUUUCAUACCCAGUAGAUGGCAACCAACAUGAGGAGUUGGAGCCAGAACCUUGUUUUGCGACGAUCAAUGCUCAUCUUGCUCGCAAUCCUACAUCCUUUGCAGCUUGGAUAUGAGAUCGUGUCGUUGUACCGUGCAGUUGUCUUGUUGUCGUUGGCUGCACUUGGGGAUUUUUUUGUCGCUAUGUUCCUUCUAGUUUCCGCUCCUUUGACGGAGUACAUCAAGAUUUGUAAUAAUCUCUAUUUGCCACCCAGUGUACAUUCCUGGAGGCAAAACUUGUGCUACAUGUUGCUGUUUUCGCUGAACCUUGUUAAUUACUCCCGUUUUGCAUACAAGAGAUAAGGGUUUGCAUCUUGAAACAAUAUUAGCUUCUUGAGUCUUCAUAUCACUCUUCAGCAUUUUUUGUGUGCACCAUGUCGGAUGUGCCUGGGCUUUUAUUUUAGUUAUGUGCUUUGUUUGGUCCAUACAUCUGUUGGUGCAAAAUAUAAACUUUGUGAUGAAUGCAUAUAUGCUGCUUAUAUGUUUGUUGGCUAAACUUGCAGUCUAUAUUAACCUGAUGUCUAUGGACUUGCAUCCUCACUUUAAUUCUUGGUGACCUUGCAACUCUCCAGCCCAAAAUGGCGUACAAUGUUCAGUUAAAAAAUUGUAGCUCUGCCAAGCUAUGUUAUCAAUAUUCACAUUUCCACCCAAUGAGAUAGUCAUAUGCUCAAGCGCAUCACGUGAAUAAUCAACAACCAUAGUACAAUUACUCUUAGCUUUUUUUUUUGAGACAAGUUACUCUUAGCUAUCUAUGCAUGAAAAGGAAGUUACAGGCCUAGCGCAUGUUAUCAAGUGCCCAGGUACAAGAAAACUCCACAAUCUGUAAUAAAUGAGAAAUAAAACAUAUGGGUCCCUUGUAAUUGCCGCAGAAAAAAAGAGGAAAGUACAUAAUCUGAUAAUUUAAUCUACACUUCUGUUUGUAAUGCAAGUUUUGAAACACGUCACGAACAUUCAGUGAACUACUCAUCUUGCUACUGCAACAUAGUAGAAUCCUCCCACCAAAGCUGUAUCAGAAGCUAAUCACGGUAACAAGGAAACAUAGUAGAAUCACUGCAACAUAGUAGAAUCCUCCCACCAACCGCACUCACGGCCGUAAGAUCAUCGCAGGACGUAACAAGGAAACGCGUGGGGAAGACCCAGGUUGACUCCAAUUUCAGGUAACGUCUUCCAGUGUUGAAGAGCUGUGUCGAAUGGUAAUAACAUUUUUUCCGUAGUUGGACUGCAGCCCAAGGUUUUUCAGACUGAUAACUUGGGAAGUAUAUGUGGUUGCUCCUUCCUCCCCAUCCCUCCGGGUUCAUGCACGGCAACGCCUCGCACCGCUCGUCAACGCUGAUAAAGAUGGCCCAGUUAUCUAACUUGUUCACUUUCACCCACCUUGCCUUCUUGGUCAUGGUGUCCAAUGACUCAAGCUUGAAGGCCAUGAACUGGAAGGCCUCCGAGCGCAUCCGUCUUCCCGCCUCCACAAGUUUGAUCAAGAGAAGCGUGUCACCACACACCACUAGCCAUGCUUUUUCAUUUGCCGAAUAGAGAUCUUUGGUUUUAUCUUCCUCGAACACAACUUUAAACUUCUCAACAAUGAGACUGGGUGACAAGUGAAUGAUGUAGAACCACCCGAAAGACCCUAGGGCAUAUGUCUUGUCCUUGAAGGCCACAUUUUGUUCAAUCGAAAAAUGACCAACUUUAGGACUCUGUUUUGUCCAAGAAUCGCUCCCGAUGCGCCACAGGAACAGAUAGGCUCCAGCACCGACAAGGAGAUAUGAGUCAGCAGAUGCAACAGGGGCAGUUAAGGUGACAUAGCUGAUGCAAGUGAACUGAAUUGACUGUAGGGAAGGAGGGCCAAGCUUAGCGCCACUGAAUGGAUUAACAAUAUGGAACCCAUUGUUGUCAUAGAAGAUGAGCUGACCGUAGGAGUAGCGCAGAAAGGUCAUGCUUCUGAGGUCACUCGAGGAGAGAAAACUGCGAGAGGAUGAGGUGGCAGCAGGGUCACCCAAUCUCCAUGUGCAUUUGUGGAAUGAGGUCCAACAGUUAUGCGAGAGAGCCUGUCGACAAGUGGCUGGACAGGGGCUGGAGAAGCAGAGGCUGGACAGAGGACCUGUGUGCUGAGAAGAGAUCACACCAAUGGCGACAAGUGGUACCGAAGGGGAGGAGGUCGCGGAACGAGCGUAGUAAAGCGACAAUGGGUCGGAGCAGGUCGUCCUGGAGCUCUGCCCAUCCUUGCGGCCGAGAUGAAGCAAAGAGUGAGGAGACAGAAGCAGAACAUGUCCUGUUGGCCAUUAUUUGCACGAUGGCACUCUCCCUGUUCGACACAGCAAAUUCAAGAAAAAGGUUAGGCAUGGAAACAAGGUAUAACUUAACUGUACAGGAAUUGCCUGGUGCGUUUCUUUAGGACAUCAACGCCACACUACGUUCCCAUCAUGCACUGAACUGAACAAAGGUACUAAUCGCAUUGAGUUGUCGCUCCCUAGAAGCUCAGAACAAGAUCAACAAUGAUGAAGGCACGCUAGAUUGACGGGUUGUUGAAGUUUCAUGUAGAUCUUGGUUCAUACAGAUUACACACCACAAUUGCCUUGCAUUUCUCAAACAAAUACUGUAUCUGGCAAGUGUCGAUGCUGACAGAAAAAUAAAAGCAGAUCACAUAUGAUUUUCCUAGCAAAUUGAGAAUCAGCGACCGACACCCUCUAUUAUUAUCUGCAAUGUUGGAGAUCUAAAGCAGGGAAAGUCUCAAUUUGGAUUGCUUUUCUUUUUCGAGAAUAAGCAGAAAGAAUCCAUCUAUGCCUUAAUCCCUACUUGCAGAUGUAGGCGGAUCUGAUGCAACAUCUGCAGGUGAAGAGAAACGGGACGAGGAUGAGGAAGCAGCCGCCGAGUAAGCGACGAGGAUGAGGAAGCAGCCGCCGAGUAAGAAGGAUGCGCGCCGAAUAUGGGGGUAUUACAUGUCAUCUUUUUCUCUUCCUUGAUGCCAUCAAGAUGUUGAGGCCUUGUAGGGAUCCGAAUGAUGGGGCAUGCUAGACAGGGAAAGCAAAAGGUUUGUAAGCACAAAAAGACGAUGGCGAUGAGCUAGACCAGUCUUUAUUCCUGUCAUUGUUAAACAGCAACAAGGUGCAUAUAUAUGUGCUCUGUUUUUCCAUAUUGGCAACUAGCAUAUUUUCUUUGGACCUAAAGGAUAAAGGGGUCUUCAAAGUGAUCCCAUCCACAUGGAAAAAGAGAUGUGCUGGAAAUCUGUCCAAACAAACCUUUUUUUAAGAUGAAAGAUCUGUAUAGUUGUUCAACAGUUGAUCUUCGACAGAGGAUUAGGAUCGAAAUGGUUCUGUAAAAUCUUACAAAGAUAAGGAUAAACAGUAUAGGUUUCUAGUAUGAAAAAAUGAAGAAUGACAGUAGGUUUAUAGCUUACCGAAUGAAUAAUGAGCAGAGAUGCUAGCUGGUAGGCAGUAUGAAUUUGCAUUUUGGGCUUAGCCACAGGUCUAGUAUGAAAGAUAGUUGCAGGCCUAGCCCAUGUUAUCAAGUGGCUCAAUUACAAAAAAUCUCUACAAUUUCUAGUAGAUGAGAAAUGAAAUAUAAUAAGGGUCCCUUGUAAUCACCACACAAGAAAAGUAGAGUUCAACAUCAGUAACUUUGGAAAACAAGUCAGCAACAUUCAGUCAACUACUCGUCCUGCAACUGCAACAUGGUAGAAUUCUCCCACGGAAGUUGUAUCAGAAGCUACACCAGACGCAUGUACGAUUGCCCCAAAGAUCAUCACUAACCAGAGCGAGGAAACGUGCUUGGAAUCACCCAGGUUGACUCCAAUCUGCGGUACCGGUUUCCAGUGUUCUCGAGCUGCGAAUGUGUUGAACAGUCGUUAUGUUUUUGCCAUAGUUGGACUGCAGCCCAAGGUUGUUCAGGAUGAUAACUUGGGAAGUAUAUGUGGUUGCUUCUGCCUCCCCAUCUCUCUGGGUUCAUGCAUGGCAAUGCCUCGCAUCGCACGUCCGCGCUGACAAAGAUGGCCCAGUUAUCCAACCUGUCCACCUUCACCCACCUUGCCUUCUUGCUCACGGUGUCCAACGACUCAAGCUUGAAGGCCUUGAACUGGAUGACCUCCGAGAAUGUCUUUCUUGAUGCCUCAAGUUUGAUCAAAAGAAGCGCGUCACCGCACGCAACAAGCCAUGUUUUUUUAUUUGUCCAAUAAAGAUCUUUGGUUCUAUCUUCCUCAAGUAUAACUUCAAACUUCUGAAUUAAGAGACUGGGUAAGAAUUGUACAAUGCAGAAGGACCCGAAAGACCCUAGGGCAUAUGUUUUGCCCUUCAGGGCCACGACUUGUUCAAUCUUAAGAAAAUUAACUUUAGGAUAGUGUUCGAACCAAGAGUCGCUCCCGAUGCGCCACUGGAACAGAUAGGCUCCACUGCCAACAAGGAGAUGUGAGUCAUCGGAUGCAUCAGGGGCAAUCAAGGUGGCAUAGCUGAUGCUGGUGAAGUGAUCUGACUUGAGGCAAGGAGGAACAACCUUAGCGCCGCUGAAGGCAUUAACAAUGUAGAACCCAUCAUCGUCGCAGAAGAUGAGGUGGCCGUAUGAGUAGCGAAGAAAGAACAUGCCUCUGAGGUCACUCAAGGAAAGCAAACUGGGAUAGGAUGAGGUGCCAGCAGGAUCAGCCAAUCUCCACGUGCAUCCUUGCAAGGUCGUCCAGCGGUUAAACUGGGGAGAUAGUUUGCUGUCGGCACUCGGGUGUAGGAGGAGAGGCUGCAAAGAGCACGUGCAUACCGAGAAGAGAUCACGCCAAGGACGACAGGUGGCACCGAAGGCGAGGAGGUCGCGGGAGGAGCCGAGGAGAGCAACGACACAUUGGAGCAAAUCUUCCGGGAGCUCUACCCAUCCUCGUGGCCCGGAUGCGGCAAAGACAGAGGAAGCAGAGGCAUAGCAGGUUCUCUUAGCGCUGAUUCGCAUGGCAACGCUCUCCCUGUUGGACACAACAAAUUCAGGGCAAAAGGUUAGGCAUGCGAAGCUAGAUAUAAUUGUAUGAAAAAGAAGAGGAGCUGCCAAGAUUCUAGGAAACAUGACCUGAGCUAACAAAGAUACAGAUUAUACUGAGUUGUUGCCCCUGAGAAGCUCAGAAUAAGAUCAACAACGACGCAGACACUGAAUUUCAGUUCUACAGAGAAGCUAUACGCGGUAGAUACAGGUUGCUGAAGUUUCAUAUAAAUCUUUGGGCCUACUGAACUGCAUACCACAAUCGCCUGUUUCUCAAACUAAUAAUAUCUGGCAGGUGCCGUGUGCUUUGAUACUGACUGACAGCACCUAGUUGUCAAACUGAAUCAGCCAAAAAAAUGCAAUGUGGGAGAUCUAAAGUAGGGAUGGUUUCAAUCUGGAUUGUUUGCCAUUGACAAUAAGCAGAAUCAAUCUUUGCCUUAAUUAUAUCAACCAAAUUCAGUUACAUAUCGAGGUACAGUGUGAUUAAUCUUACAGAAGAUAUAGGUGGAUCUGAUGCAACAUCCACAGGUGAACGAAAUUAACCAGAAAAACAAGACGGAGGGGAAAGAAAGGGAGAUGGAGGAGUACAGGACGAGGUAGGGCUUGGGGCUAUUACGUCCGCGACGAGGACGAGGACGAAGAAGCGGUCGCCGUCGCCGAGGAAGGAGGAUGCCCGUCGAUCUCCCGCGGCUGCGCCUCCAUGUGCGCCGCCGUUUCUUCCUGUUCUCGGAUGUUGGAGCAGCGCAGCCUUCUGAGCGCAGAGCCUCGAUAUUUUUCCAUCAUCCCGUUGUAACGCUGGCCCGGCCUAGUCCAGGGAUAAUGGGCCGAACAUGGGCAAUAGAUUCCUACCUGCUCUAGGGCUGUUUUUUUUAACACAGUACAGACGCAAGCGCUCAUACAUACGCGCAUACACUCACCCUAUAAACGCAUAUAUGCACACUCUAUUCGUAUGAGCACUUUUGAGAUACUGAGCGGGCAUAUCAUUUGAGAUUUACGAAGUCAUCGUAGGCAUCUCGUUGUCGGAAGUGGAUCCUCUAACAUGAAGGAGGGAAGUCAUCUAAACUACAAUUCUCUAACUUCCCUCCUUCACUUCCAAUAUGAUUAAGGCUAAGAUGACUCGAAUUAAUUUGCAAAUUACAAAUCUACUUUAUACAUUUACAAAAAUUACAUACAAACAAAAUUAUGGUGCAAUAAAAAUUAAUUUUGGAUUUAUUUAUAUCAACAAUAGCUGUGUAUAGUACCUACUUAAGUAGAUGAUAGAGUGAUUGCUACAGUAUCCGUGACUUUCCUUCUAUGUUUUACACUAGUCUGCACUGUAGCUUAGGUGACUUUCCUCCUUCAUGUUAGAGGAUCCACUUCCCUCGUUGUCGACGGGAACAUCUCCUCCCGCUGAAAGCGCAUCGCCGAAAAUCCUGAAAUAAAUCCAGGAGUAAUGCGAGCAUCAGGACAUGAACCCUGGUGGGAUGGGAAUACUACUGGCUCUCUAACCAUCCAACCACAGGUUGGUUCGCCUAUGGCUGUGUAUUUUAAGAGGCGUUCAGCUUGGAUUCCCAGGUUGUUCCGCUAUGAGAAGAUGUGGGAAUCCCGGGGAAAGUUUGUUUUUGCCACUCUAGAUUUUGCCAAUUUUCUUUAUGCCAUUCUAGAUUUUGACAUUUCACUUUUGCUACUCUUAGCUUUUGACAAUUAUCACAAUUGCCAAUACGUGGCAAAAUCAAAAUAAACUUAUUUCAUUUUUGCCACUCUUAGCUUUUGAAAUGUAUAACAAUUGCCACUCUGAUUUUUUUUACUUUAGCCACGGGAAUGACAAUUGUGUUAAUUGUCAAGAACUAAGAGUGGAAAAUGUGAAAUGUCAAAAUCUAGAGUGGCAUAAGGAAAAUUGGCAAAAUUUAGUGUGGCAAAAACAAAAUUUCCCAAAAAAAAAAGAUGUGGGAGACUCGUGGUAAAUUUGAUGGGGUCGGGCUGGAGUGUCGGAAGUGCAGAAGAACUUGGAUGAAAUUUUAGAAGAGAAAGACGGAGGGAAGGGAGAGAGAGGUGGAGGAGAGGACAUGGCAAGGUAGGGCUUAUUACGUCGUCGAGGACGAGUCAGCAGUGGCUAAUGACGUCGAGGAAGAUGGACACGCUUGAUCUCCCUCGGCCGCGCCUCAAUGCACCGCCAUUUCUUCUAGCUCUCCGACGAGUAGCACAGUCGUAAACGACAUAUCCUAAACGACGCCUUAAGCACAGUUCCUUCUAUUUCCGCAAUCGGACGCACACUUCUCCGCGCUGGCCGACCCAUCUUUAUCCUUUUUUGUUUUAGAAGACAAAAAACUAUGUGCGAUGGGAUCUUGCUUCCAUGUGCACGCUGCAGUAACAUACCGAUAGACAAAGGGAACUGCAUACAGGAUUAGCUGAAUCCUUAGCAUCGAGGUUCGUCGACCGAUAAGAUCUUCAAAGAAUACGUAGGAACCAAUAUGGGCAUCCAGGUCCCGCUAUUGGUUGUUGACCAUAGAGGUGUCUCGGCCAUGUCUGCAUAGUUCUCGAACCCGCAGGGUCUACACACUUAUCGUCUGGUGACGAUAUAAGUACAAUUGAGUCGUUAUGGUGGUUGACGAAGGUUGUUCGGAGUCUCGGAUGAGAUCCCGGACGUGACGAGGAACUCCGGAAUGGUCCGGGGGUGAAGAUUGAUAUAUUGGAUCGAGGAGGUGAAGGCAUCAUCAAGCCGUACGUGUGUUGAACGCGGAGGUGUCGUCCGUUUGGCACUUGGAUCGGGAGUUCACGGGACGGAUCGUGAUUGGAUCGCAAAGACGUUCGAAUACAUCAACCACGUUUCUUAAUGCUUCCGCUUAGCAAUCUACAAUGGUACAUAGAUGCAAUCUCUUCUCUCGUGGAUGUUCAUCUCCUAGAUUGAUCUUGGUGAGCGUAGGAUUUUUUUUUGUUUCCCAUGCAACGUUCCCCAACACCGUUCCCCUCCUUGGAGGUGCCGCUCGGGUCUGUCCCUCUGCCCCUUCCCCUCCUUGCCUCCCGGGAGAAAUCCCCAACGCUGUUGGGCGGCGGUGGCGUCCUUGGUGUCGCGUCCUCCUUGAGCAAGGUGGGAGUGGGGUUUCUCAGAGAUGUGUUUCGUGUGCAGCGGCGACUGUAGCUGAUCUCCCUCGACGACCGCGACUUCCUAAAUGACUCCUUCAUUUCGGGAGCUCUCCGGUCUACUGCGCGGUGCCCUGUCUGGCCUGUGGAUUCUCCUGGGCAUGAGGGGAUCGGGUUCCCCUCAUUCGACGACCCUUCUCAGUGCACCAUGAGAGUAUUAGCCCCUCUUUCGGUACCUGCAUUUCGGUUCUCAAUGUCUUCCAGAGAGAUCUAACUGUUUCUCGUCUUUGUCCGUUCCGACAACUCUUCCUUUUUGUGACCAGUCGGUGGGAUUCGGUGGUGCUCUGCUCUUGGUGAUGUGUUCGUGACUUGUUGGGUGAGUUAUUUCUUUUCAGAUGCAGCCUGCCGACAACUAUCUCCCAGGUUCUAGGGUGAACUGCUCCUCUUGUCAAUGGUGCGGCGCCUUUCGAGCCAGGCGAGGAGGCAGGGGCCUUCUUUAACAUUGGAGCUGGGCGGAUGUGUAGGGUCGGGGUUGCUGGUGAUUAGGCGACGGCGUGCCCUUCUUCAUCGUUGGACAUGUUGAUCCAGUGUGGGCAUUCUUCUUCUUCCAUGGCGUUUUGGUCGCGUGGAGGGCCUCUUCAUCUCUGAGCUGUGUUUCUCCCAGUCGGUCUUUUUAGCUUGGUGUGUAUGAGGCUUGUGAGCUUCUUUCCAGCGCCUUUGUAUCUUGCCGUUUUCCUUUUUUUCUUGUGUUGGUUUCGAGUUUGUAAUCCUGGCCAGUUGAUGACUUUGUUAAUUCAAAGUCGGGCUCUUCUUGAGCCUUCGUUAUAAAAAAAUAUCUCUCUUAAAUACCUAUCAAAUUAGGACCAAUUUCAUAACACGUGAACAAUCAAUCCCCGUCCGAAGACUCUGACACCAGGAAUGGCACCGACAAUCCCUCCUCGUGCCGCCGACCCUACACGGAGGGCUACAGACGCUCCGGUGAAUGAAAUGACAAAGGAACAACGAGGGAAUGGUGUGUAUAGUCUCGACAAUGAUCAUUGAUACUAGGGAUGAUGGAACCAAGAGUUGAGAUGCUAGACAAUGGCCCAUGCAGAUAGAAGAAUGUAAGUACAUUAACAACAAUGCAUGAGCAUAGAUCUGGAUGGAUAAAUGAUUCUAGUGAAGACGAGAGUAGCUUAAAUUCUAUUUCUAUUCUAUAUAUGCAACUCGAAGAACAAAACAAACAAAUAUAUAGUCCAACCCUUGUUGGCUUCUAAACAUCAUCUUGACACAGUUACCCAUGAGGAAAAAGUGGAUUGCUAGAGGGCGGGAGAUUAAAAAAAGAUUUGGAUGGAUUGUUUUUUUUGAAUCGUCCGAUGAGCAGCCAACGACCAGAUGGCCUUCUGAAAGUGCUAGUUAUCGACUAGAGGGGGGGGGUGAAUAGGCGAUUUUUACAAAAGUCUUCAAAACAUGAAAGUUUCGAAGACAAUCAUGAAAACUAGACCUAUAAACAUGUAGCGGAAGAUGAACUACACUAGACAAGCCAUAGUCAAACAAGUAUGAAGCUAAAGCAUGAUGACUGAUAGCAGCUAUGUAGUAGGAUCAGGAUGGAAGAUAGUAUGAAGCCAAUCAGAACAAGUAGUCACACAGUGAAGACAAAUAGGUAGAGUAAUCAGGCAAUGACUUUACAAAGACAAGCUGUAAGUAAGGAGAGUAAGAGAUAGAACCAGUGUGUUGUGAAGACAAGGAUUUGUUCAACCAGUUCCAGUUGCUAUGACAACUGUACGUCUGGCUAGGGAGGUUGAGAUUGAACUCAGAAGACCGUGUCUUCACCUUAUUCCCCUUGAGCUAAGGACACACAGUCCCCGCCCAAUCACUCUGUUAAGUCUUCAAGGUAGACUUCCAAACCUUCACAGACUUCGUUCACCGGCCAUCCACAAUUACUCUUGGAUGCUCAGAACGCGACGCCUAACCGGCUGGAGGAUUCACAUUCCUCAAGUGUAACAAGUCUUCAGAUCACGCGGACAAAAAGACUUCAGUGAUGCCUAACACUCUUUGGCUCUGGGUGUUUGGGCUUCGUCGUCACAAGGAUUUCUCUCUCUCAAAAGCUUCGGAGGUGGGUUGCUCUCAAACGACAAAAGCCGUGCACUAACUCUGAGCAGCCACCAAUUUAUGGUGUAGGGGGUGGGCUAUUUAUAUAGCCACUAGGCAACCCGACCUGAUUUGUCCGAAAUGACCCUGGGUCACUAAGGAACUGACACGUGUCACAACGGUCAGAUUUCAAACACACGCGACAUCUUGACUUGGGCUACAAGUAAAGCUGACUUAUCCGACCCUGGAUAAGAUUUGCUCUCAUUGUCUUCGCUCGAAGACAUAGGAUUUUGGUUGAGCAUCACUUCAGUCACUCUGACUUUGUUCACUUGGACCCCACUUAACAGUGCGGUCGUUCCUAUGACUCAACAAAGAAGAAAAGAAACAACAAAACUGCUAAGUCUUUGCGCUCCAUAGUCUUCACUCAAUGUCUUCUAUAGUCAUAGUCUUCAAUGUGAAUAUCUUCACGUACCACCAUUAUCUUCAAUGUCUUCAUACAUUUUUAGGGGUCAUCUCCGGUAGGUAAACCGAAUCAAAGAGGGACUACUACCUGUGUUAUCCUGCAAUUCUUACAAACACAUUAGUCCCUCAACCACGUUUGUCAUCAAUACUCCAAAACCAAACUAGGGGUGGCACUAGAUGCACUUAAAAUCUCCCCCUUUUGGUGAUUGAUGACAAACUGGUUGAAGUUUUCAACGGGGAUAUAAGUAUGUGAAAUAUGUGAAAUUGUAAAGGAUGAGGUAUUGUCUUCAUAAGUAGCCAAAGGCUCCCGCUGAAGAUGUGCAUAUAAGUAAUUUGCCUUUGGAAUGCAAAUGCACAUGGCAGGUUCUACUUGUGGAGAUCCUCUUCAACUUAUGACGACAAUUCAUCAUGCAUGAUUUGAUGUAGUGAAGAUAAUGACAUGCAUAAUGAAAAAUGGACGUCUACAAAAUGAUUUAAGUGCGGAAGUUAUCAUCGCACAUGCGGAAUUUAUCAUCGCAUCACAAAAUAGCAAAUAAGUAGUAGACGACCAUCGAGUUUAAGUGUUACAACUCAGAGAACCAAAUGUAUCAAGAGAAAGAGUUGUAAACACUAGGCAAAAUAUAAAGCAACCGCCCAUAUGAACCCGCUUGAAAACUAUCAACUCAUAGCUUCUCCCCUUUUUGUCAGUAAGGACCAAAAAGGGUUGAAGACAUUGAGCCUCUACUCGUCCCCAGAAGGAGUAGGAGAAGAUGCAGGGUUGGUGUCGAGGUUUGGCGGUGCAGAAGAACUUGGAGCAGUGUCGAUACGUGUUGGAGGUGGCGAAGUGGCAUCAUCUUGAUCAUCGAUCACACGAGCAUUCACGGUUGCAGCAGAAGAGGAGUACUCUGAGUCUUCAAGAGAUGGAGUGCGCCGCAGAACAACAUUUCUGGGCGGAGUGGAAUCAAACUUGAAUCUUUCUAAGAAGCCAUCGUCCUGAAGAUCUUCCUCAGCACACAUAAGCAUCAGCCCUUUCCAUGUGCGUCGACAGGUUUCAUGCACGACAAAGGCAUUCUUGGUUGCAAGGUUGCGAAUGCGAUUGAGGUUAGUCAUGAUGCUCUGCAUCUGGCGCUUGAGCCGAUCAUGAUGCCUAUCCUAUUUCUGAUGCAGGCCAACGAGAAGCUCUCGGUCAUUGAGAACACGAGAUUGCCUUCGAGGCCGUUGAGCAAUUGUGCUGUCAGUGGUGUCGGUUUGGGCACGGUGAGGUGCACAUGUAGUACCAGCCAACGGAUAGACUCGAGUGGCAGCUAGCACACCUUCAAUGGGCUGAGUGAUGCUCUGACCAUCAACAUUAUGAAGAUAGAGUGGCUCCUUGUCAGGCUCUGGAUAGAUGGCUUCAACCGACAAAUCGACAUCUGGCAAGAAGACAAUGAUGUUGCGUGCAGAUGGCUGAUAGUUGAAAGCAGUGUGAAGCUUGAUCGGACGCAUGAUCCAUGGAGCAUAGAACUUCAAGCCAAAAAUGUUGGAAAUAUGCCCUAGAGGCAAUAAUAAAAUGGUUAUUAUUAUAUUUCAUUGUUCAUGAUAAUUGUCUAUUGUUCAUGCUAUAAUUGUAUUAACUAGAAACCGUAAUACAUGUGUGAAUACAUAAACCACAACAUGUCCCUAGUGAGCCUCUAGUUGACUAGCUCGUUGAUCAAUAGAUGGUUAUGGUUUCCUGACCAUGGACAUUGGAUGUCAUUGAUGACGGGAUCACAUCAUUAGGAGAAUGAUGUGAUGGACAAGACCCAAUCCUAAGCAUAGCACAAGAUCGUGUAGUUCGUUUGCUAAAGCUUUUCUAAUGUCAAGUAUCGUUUCCUUAGACCAUGAGAUUGUGCAACUCCCGGAUACCGUAGGAAUGCUUUGGGUGUACCAAACGUCACAACGUAACUGGGUGGCUAUAAAGUGCACUACAGGUAUCUCCGUAAGUGUCUGUUGGGUUGGCACGAAUCGAGACUGGGAUUUGUCACUCCGUAUGAUGGAGAGGUAUCUCUGGGCCCACUCGGUAAUGCAUCAUCAUAAUGAGCUCAAUGUGACUAAGCAGUUAGUCACGGGAUCAUGCAUUGCGGAACGAGUAAAGUGACUUGCCAGUAACAAGAUUGAACAAGGUAUUGGGAUACCGACGAUCGAAUCUCGGGCAAGUAACAUACCGAUUGACAAAGGGAAUUGAAUACGGGAUUGAUCGAAUCCCCGACAUAGUGGUUCAUCCGAUGAGAUCAUCGUGGAACAUGUGGGAGCCAAUAUGGGUAUCCAGAUCCCGCUAUUGGUUAUUGGCUGGAGAGGUGUCUCGGUCAUGUCUGCAUGGUUCCCGAACCCGUAGGGUCUACACACUUAAGGUUCGGUAACGCUAGAGUUGUUAUGGGAAAUAGUAUGUGGUUACCGAAGGUAGUUCGGAGUCCCGGAGAUCCCGGAUGUCACGAGGAGUUCCGGAAUGGUCCGGAGGUGAAGCUUGAUAUAUUGGACAAAGGGUUUUGGAGUCCGGAAGUGUUCCGGAGGUACCGGGUGAUGACCAGCAUGACCGAAAGGUAUUUUGGGAGCCCCGGCAAGUGUUGGGGGGCUUCAUGGGCCAAGGGAAGGGGGCAAACCAGCCCACUAAGGGGUUGUGCGCCCCCUCACCUAUUCCCACGUGACCAGGGGGUUUGGGGCGCCCCAUCUAGGGUUCCCACCUCCUGGCUUGGGGGCCAAGUCACCCAAAGGGGAGAUCCCAUCUGCCCUGACCGCCGCCCCCCCUAGGGGAAACCCUAGGGCGCCUCCCCCUCCCCCUUGCCACUAUAUAUAGUGGAGGUUUUGGGGCUGCCCAACACAUGAGUCUCUCUCUCCCAAGGAGCAGCCCUACCUCUCUCCCUCCUCGUCUCUCGUAGUGCUUGGCGAAGCCCUGCUGGAGUACGCGCUCCUCCUCCACCACCACGCUGUCGUGCUGCUGCUGGACGGAGUCUUCCCCAACCUCUCCCUCUCUCCUUGCUGGAUCAAGGCAUGGGAGACGUCACCGGGCUGCACGUGUGUUGAACGCGGAGGCGUCAUUGUUCGGUGCUUAGAUCGGAAUCGACAGCGAUCUGAAUCGCCACGAGUACGACUACCUCAUCCGCGUUCUUGCAACGCUUCCGCUUAGCGAUCUACAAGGGUAUGUAGAUGCACUCUCUCUCUCUCUUGUUGCUAGAAUCUCCAUAGAUUGAUCUUGGUGAUUUGUAGAAAAUUUUGAAUUUCUGCUACGUUCCCCAAACAGUGGCAUCAUGAGCUAGGUCUAUACGUAGUUUCUAUGCACGAGUAGAACACAAGUUAUUGUGGGCGUCGAUUUUGUCAAUUUACUUGCCGUUACUAGUCUUAUCUUGAUUCGGCGGCAUCGUGGGAUGAAGCGGCCCGGACCGACCUUACACGUACACUUACGUGAGACAGGUUCCACCGACUGACAUGCACUAGUUGCUUAAGGUGGCUAGCGGGUGUCUGUCUCUCCCAAUUUAGUCGGAUCGGAUUCGAUGAAAAGGGUCCUUAUGAAGGGUAAAUAGAAAUUGGCAUAUCACGUUGUGGUUUUGGCGUAGGUAAGAAACGUUCUUGCUAGAAACCUAUAGCAGCCACGAAAAAACUUGCAACAACAAUUAGAGGACGUCUAACUUGUUUUUGCAGCAUAUGCCGUGUGAUGUGAUAUGGCCAAAAGGAUGUGAUGAAUGAUAUAUAUGUGAUGUAUGAGAUUGAUCAUGUUCUUGUAAUAGGAAUCACGACUUGCAUGUCGAUGAGUAUGACAACCGGCAGGAGCCGUAGGAGUUGUCUUAAUUUAUUGUAUGACCUACGUGUCAUUGAAUAACGCCAUGUAAUUACUUUACUUUAUUGCUAAACCGUUAGCCAUAGUAGUAGAAGUAAUAGUUGGUGAGACAACUUCAUGAAGACACGAUGAUGGAGAUCAUGAUGAUGGAGAUCAUGGUGUCAUGCCGGUGACGAUGAUGAUCAUGGCGCCCCGAAGAUGGAGAUCAAAAGGAGCAAAAUGAUAUUGGGCAUAUCAUUUCACUAUUUGAUUGCAUGAGAUGUUUAUCAUGUUUUUGCAUCUUAUUUGCUUAGAACGACGGUAGCAUAAAUAAGAUGAUCCCUCAUAAAAUUUCAAGAAAGUGUUCCCCCUAACUGUGCACCGUUGCGAAGGUUCGUUGUUAUGAAGCACCACGUGAUGAUCGGGUGUGAUAGAUUCUAACGUUCGAAUACAACGGGUGUAAGCCAGAUUUACACACACAAUACACUUAGGUUGACUUGACGAGCCUAGCAUGUAUAGACAUGACCUCGGAACACGGAAGACCGAAAGGUCGAACAUGAGUCGUAUAGAGGAUACGAUCAACAUGAAGAUGUUCACCGAUGAUGACUAGGCCGUCUCACGUGAUGAUCGGACACGGCCUAGUUGACUCGGAUCAUGUAUCACCUAGAUGACUAGAGGGAUGCCUAUCUGAAUGGGAGUUCAUUAAAUAAUCAGAUGAACUUAAUUAUCAUGAACAUAGUCAAAAGGUCUUUGCAAAUUAUGUCGUAGCUCACGCUUUAGUUCUACUGUUUUAGAUAUGUUCCUAGAGAAAAUUUAAUUGAAAGUUGAUAGUAGCAAUUAUGCGGACUAGGUCCGUAAACUGAGGAUUGUCCUUGUUGCUACACAGAAGGCUUAUGUCCUUAAUGCACCGCUUGGUGUGCUGAACCUCAAACAUCGUCUGUGGAUGUUGCGAACAUCUGACAUACACGUUUUGAUGACUACGUGAUAGUUCAGUGCGUAAUGUUAAACGGUUUAGAAUUGAGGCGUCAAAGGCAUUUUUGAAAUGUCGCGGAACAUAUGAGAUGUUCCAAGGACUGAAAUUGGGAUUUCAGGCUAGUGCCCACGUCAAGAGGUGUAAGACCUCCGACAAGUUUCUUAGCCUGCAAACUAAGGGAGAAAAGCUCAAUCAUUGAGCAUGUGCUCAGAUUGUCUGAGUACUACAAUCACUUGAAUUGAGUGGGAGUUAAUCUUCCAGUUGAGAUAGUGAUGGUUCUCCAUAGUCACUGCCACCAAGCUAUUAGAGCUUCGUGAUGAACUAUAACAUAUCAGGGAUAGACAUGAUGAUCCUUGAGCAAUUCACGAUGUUUGACACCGCGAAAGUAGAAAUCAAGUAGGAGCAUCAAUUGUUGAUGGUUAGUAAAACCACUAGUUUCAAGAAGGGCAAGGGCAAGAAGGGAUACUUCAUGAAACGGCAAAUCAGUUGCUGCUCUAGUGAAGAAACCCAAGGUUGAACCCAAAACCCGAGACUAAGUGCUUCUGUAAUGAGGGGAACAGUCACUGAAGCAGAACUACCCUAGAUACUUGGUAGAUGAGAAGGCUGGCAAGGUUGACAGAAGUAUAUUGGAUAUAAACUGUAUUAAAUGUGUACUUUACUAGUACUCCUAGUAGCACCAAGGUAUUAAGAUACCGGUUCGGUUGCUAAGUGUUAGUAACUGGAAAUAAAAGGCUAUGGAAUAAAUGGAGACUAGCUAAAGGUGAGAUGAUGAUAUAUGUUGGAAGUGUUUCCAAGGUUGAUGUGAUCAAACAUCGCACGCUCCCUCUACCAUCGGGAUUGGUGUUAAACCUAAAUAAUUGUUAUUUGGUGUUUGCGUUGAGCAUAGACAUGAUUGUAUUAUGUUUAUCACAAUACAGUUAUUCAUUUAAGGAGAAUAAUGGUUACUCUGUUUAUUUGAAUAAUACCUUCAACGGUCUUGCACCUAAAAUGAAUGGUUUAUUGAAUCUCGAUCGUAGUGAUACACAUGUUCAGGCCAAAAGAUAUAAGAUAGUAAUGAUAGUACCACCUACUUGUGGCACUGUCAUUUGAGUCAUAUUGGUAUAAAACGCAUGAAGAAGCUCCAUGUUGCUGUAUCUUUGGACUCACUCGUUUUUGAUAAUUUUGAGACGUGCGAACCAUGUCUAUUGGUGUAUACGCAUGAAGAAACUCCAUGCAGAUGGAUCGUUUGGACUCACUUGAUUUUGAAUCACUUGAGACAUGCAAAUCAUACCACAUGGGAAAAAUGACUGAAAGGCCUCAUUUUCAGUGAGAUGGAACAAGAAAGCAACUUGUUGGAAGUAAUACAUUUGAUGUGUGCAAUCCAAUGAGUGUCGAGGCACGCAGUGAAUAUCGUUAUGCUCUUACUUCACAUAUGAUUUGAGUAGAUUCUAAGUAUGUUUACUUGAUGAAACACAUGUCUGAAAUAUUGAAAGGUUCAAGUAAUUUCAGAGUGAAGUUGAAGAUCGUCGUAACAAGAGGAUAAGAUGUCUAUGAUAUGAUCAUAGAGAUGAAUAUCUGAGUUACAAGUUUGGCACACAAUUAAGACAUUGUGGAAAUUGUUUCACAACUAAUACCGCCUGUAACACCAUAGUGUGAUGGCGUGUCCGAACAUCAUAGCUGCAUCCUAUUGGAUAUGGUGCAUACCAUGAUGUCUCUUAUCGAAUUACCACUAUCGUUUAUGGGUUAGGCAUUAGAGACAACUGCAUUCACUUUAAAUAGGGCACCACGCAAUUCCGUUGAGAUGACACCGUAUGAACUAUGGUUUAGAGAAACCUAAGCUGUCAUUUCUUAAAAGUUUGGGGAUGCGAUGCUUAUGUGAAAAAGUUUCAGGCUGAUAAGCUCGAACCCAAAGGGGAUAAAUGCAUCUUCAUAGAAUACCCAAAAUAGUUGGGUAUACCUCCUAUUUCAGAUCCAGAAGCAAAAGUAAUUGUUUCUAGAAACGGGUCCUUUCUCGAGGAAAAGUUUUUCUCGAAGGAAUUGAGUGGGAGGAUGGUGGAGACUUGAUGAGGUUAUUGAACCGUCACUUCAACUAGUGUGUAGCAGGGCACAGUAAGUUGUUCCUGUGGCACCUACACCAAUUGAAGUGGAAGCUUAUGAUAUUGAUCAUAAAACUUCGGAUCAAGUCACUACCAAACCUUGUAGUUCGACAAGGAUGCGUAGUACUUCAGAGUGGUACGUAAUCCUGUUUUGGAAGUCAUGUUGCUAGACAACAAUGAACCUACGAGCUAUGGAGAAGCGAUGGUGGGCCCGGAUUCCGACGAAUGGCUCGAGGCCGUAAAAUCCUAGAGAGGAUCCAUGUAUGAAAACAAAGUGUAGAUUUUGGAAGAACUACUUGAUGGUCGUAAGGCUGUUGGGUACAGAUGGAUUCUAAGAGGGAAGACAGACAAUGAUGGUAUGUGUCACCAUUAAGAAAGCUCGGCUUGUCGCUAAGAUGUUUCCGACAAGUUCAAGGAGUUGACUACGAUGAGAAUUUCUCACUCGUAGCGAUGCUAAGAGUCUGUUGGAAUUAUAUUAGCAGUUACUGCAUUAUUUAUGAAAUCUUGCAGAUAGGAUGUGAAAACAUUGUUUCCUCGACAAUUUUCUUGAGGAAAGGUUGUAUGUGAUACAACCAGAAGGUUUUGUCAAUCCUGAAAGAUGCUAACAAGUAUGCAAAGCUCCAACAAUCCUUCUAAGGACUGGAGUAAGCAUCUCGGAGUUGGAAUAUGCGCUUUGAUGAGAUGAUCAAAGAUUUUGGGUUUAUACAAAGUUUAUGAGAAACUUGUAUUUCCAAAGAAGUGAGUGGGAGCACUAUAGAAUUUCUGAUGAGUAUAUGUUGUUAACAUAUUGUUGAUCAGAAAUGAUGUAGAGUUUCUGGAAAGGAUAUAGGGUUAUUUGAAAAGUGUUUUUCAAUGGAAAACCUGGAUUAAGCUACUUGAACAUUGAGCAUCAAGAUCUAUAAGGAUAGAUCAAAAUCGCUCAAUAGUACUUUCAAAUGAACACAUACCAUGACAAGAUUUUGAAAGAGUUCAAAAUAGAUCGGCAAAGAAGGAGUUCUUGGCUGUGUUAUAAGGUGUGAGUAUUGAGUAAGACUCAAGACCUGACCACGGCAGAAUAGAGAGAAAGGACGAAGGUCGUCCCCUAUGCUUAGACGUAGGCUCCAUAGUAUGCUAUGUUGUGUACCGCACCUGAAGUGUGCCUUGCCAUGAGUCAGUCAAGGGGUACAAGUGUGAUCCAGGAAUGGAUCACAGGACAUCGGUCAAGGUUAUCCGUAGUAACUAGUUGACUAAGGAAUUUUCUCAAUUAUGGAGGUGGUAAAAGAGUUCGUUGUAAAGGGUUACGCUGAGGCAAACUUUGACACUAAUCUGGAUGACUCUGAGUAGUAAACCGGAUUCAUAUAGUAGAGUUGUUAUUUGGAAUAGUUCCAAAUGGCGCGUGAUAGCUGCAUAUAGGAGAUGACAUAGAGAUUUGUAAAGCACAGACGGAUCUGAAAGAUUCAGACCCGUUGACUAAUGAACCUCUCUCACAAGCGAGAUAUGAUCAAACACCAUGGGUGUUGGAUUCAUGACAAUCACAUAGUGAUGUGAACUAGAUUAUUGACUCUGGUGCAAGUGGGAGACUGUUGGAAAUAUGCCCUAGAGGCAAUAAUAAAAUGGUUAUUAUUAUAUUUCCUUGUUCAUGAUAAUUGUCUAUUGUUCAUGCUAUAAUUGUAUUAACUAGAAACCGUAAUACAUGUGUGAAUACAUAGACCACAACAUGUCCCUAGUGAGCCUCUAGUUGACUAGCUCGCUGAUCAAUAGAUGGUUAUGGUUUCCUGACCAUGGACAUUGGAUGUCAUUGAUGACGGGAUCACAUCAUUAGGAGAAUGAUCUGAUGGACAAGACCCAAUCCUAAGCAUAACACAAGAUCUUGUAGUUCGUUUGCUAAAGCUUUUCUAAUGUCAAGUAUCGUUUCCUUAGACCAUGAGAUUGUGCAACUCCCGGAUACCGUAGGAAUGCUUUGGGUGUACCAAAGGUCACAACGUAACUGGGUGGCUAUAAAGGUGCACUAUAGGCAUCUCCGAAAGUGUCUGUUGGGUUGGCAUGAAUCGAGGCUGGGAUUUGUCACUCCAUAUGACGGAGAGGUAUCUCUGGGCCCACUCGGUAAUGCAUCAUCAUAAUGAGAUCAAUGUGACUAAGCAGUUAGUCAUGGGAUCAUGCAUUACAGAAUGAGUAAAGUGACUUGCCGGUAAUGAGAUUGAACGAGGUAUUGGGAUACCGACGAUCGAAUCUCGGGCAAGUAACAUACCGAUUGACAAAGGGAAUUGAAUAUGGGAUUGAUUGAAUCCCCGACAUCGUGGUUCAUCCGAUGAGAACAUCGUGGAACAUGUGGGAGCCAAUAUGGGUAUCCAGAUCCUGCUAUUGGUUAUUGGCCGGAGAGGUGUCUCGGUCAUGUCUGCAUGGUUCCCGAACCCGUAGGGUCUACACACUUAAGGUUCGGUGACGCUAGAGUUAUUAUGGGAAAUAGUAUGUGGUUACCGAAGGUAGUUCAGAGUCCCGGAUGAGAUCUCGGACGUCACGAGGAGUUCCGGAAUGGUCCGUAGGUGAAGAUUGAUAUAUUGGACGAAGGGUUUUGGAGUCCGGAAGUGUUCUGGAGGUACCGGGUGAUGACCAGCAUGACCGAAAGGUAUUUCAGGAGCCCCGACAAGUGUUGNNNNNNNNNNNNNNNNNNNNNNNNNNNNNNNNNNNNNNNNNNNNNNNNNNNNNNNNNNNNNNNNNNNNNNNNNNNGGGCCAAGGGAAGGGGGCAAACCGGCCCACUAAGGGGCUGCGCGCCCCCCUCACCGUAGGACCUUGAAGUAUGUCUAGAGGGGGGGGGGGUGAUUAGACUACUUGACCAAUUAAAAACUUAGCCUUUUCCCAGUUUUAGAGUUUGGCAGAUUUUAGCUAUCUUAGGACAAGUCAAGCGAUCAUCGCACAAUUCAAGCAAGCAUGCAAAGAGUAUAUUGGCAGCGGAAAUUAAAGCAUUCAACUUGCAAGAAAGUAAAGGGAAGGGUUUGGAGGAUUCAAACGCAAUUGGAGACACAGAUGUUUUUGGCGUGGUUUCGAUAGGUGGUGCUAUCGUACCUCCACGUUGAUGGAGACUUCAACCCACGAAGGGUAACGGUUGCGCGAGUCCACAGAGGGCUCCACCCACGAAGGGUCCACGAAGUAGCAACCUUGUCUAUCCCACCAUGGCCAUCGCACACGAAGGACUUGCCUCACUAGCGGUAGAUCUUCACGAAGUAGGCGAUCUCCUUGCCCUUACAAACUCCUUGGUUCAACUCCACAAUCUUGCCGGAGGCUCCCAAGUGAUACCUAGCCAAUCUAGGAGACACCACUCUCCAAGAAGUAACAAAUGGUGUGUUGAUGAUGAACUCCUUGCUCUUGUGCUUCAAAUGAUAGUCUCCCCAACACUCAACUCUCUCUCAUAGGAUUUGGAUCUGGUGGAAAGAAGAUUUGAGUGGAAAGCAACUUGGGGAGGGCUAGAGAUCAAGAUUCAUAUGGUAGGAAUGGAAUAUCUUGGUCUCAACACAUGAGUAGGUGGCUCUCUCUCAAAAAUGGUAAGUUGGAAGUGUAGGUUUGUUCUGAUGGCUCUCUCCACGGAUGAAGAGGAGGUGGAGGGGUAUAUAUAGCCUCCACACAAAAUCUAACCGUUACACACAAUCUACCAAUUUCGGUGGGACCGAAUCAACAAACUCGGUCAGACCGAUUUUAGUAAACCUAGUGACCAUUAGGGUUUUCGGUGGGACUGACUUGCAUCUCGGUAGGACCGAUAUGGUUAGGGUUAGGGCAUAACGUAAUCUCAGUGAGACCGAUUACACAAACUCGGUGAGACCGAUUUUGGUAAUUAGCUAACCAGAGAGUUGGUCAGGUAAACUCGGUGGGACCGAUUCGCUCUUUCAGUGAGACCGAAAUGUUACGAAAGGGAAACAGAAAGUUUACAUUGCAAUCUCGGUGGGACCGAUCCGCUCUUUCGGUGAGACCGAAAAGUUACGAAAAGGAAACAGAGAGAUUACAAUCCCAUCUCGGUGAGACCGAGAACCCUAUCGGUAGAACCGAUUUGCCUAGGGUUUGUGGCAGUGGCUAUGACAUUUGGAAUCGGUGGCGCAGGAUAGGAAGAAUCGGUGACACCGAUUUUGGCUUUAGGUUUAGGUCAUAUGUGGAUGUGAGAAAGUAGCUGAAGGUUUUGGAGCAUAUCACUAAGCACAUGAAGCAAGAGGCUCAUUAAGCAACACCUCAUCCCUCCUUGAUAGUAUUGGCUUUUCCUAUGGACUCAAUGUGAUCAUGAAUCACUAAAAUAUAGAAUGAAGAGUCUUGAGCUUUUAAGCUUGAGCCAAUCCUUUGUCAUUAGCAUUUUGAGGGAUCCACUUUCAUCAUUCAUGCCAUGCCAUUCAUUGAGCUUUCUUGAAAUGUUCAUCUUGGAAUAGCAUUAGCUCAAUGAGCUAUAUGUUGUUAUGAAUUACCAAAACCACCUCGGGAUAGUUGCACUUUCAAUCUCCUCCUUUUUGGUAAUUGAUGACAACAUAUAGAUCAAAGCUUCGACAAUUGAUAAUAAGAUUGAAAAAACAUCGUUGCUUUGAGAAGUAUGUGAUAAGCAAGAGCUCCCCCUAAAUUUGUGCAUAGUUUACGAUUUGCUUUGGACUGCAAAUGCACAAGGAAUUAGGCUCAUGGGUUACUCUUCCAUGUCACAUACAUCUUGGUGGAGCGCUCAAAAUGAUACGGAUUAAAUACAUGCACUCAUCACCAAGCACAGUGAAUGAUCACAUAGGAUAGAUAAGUUAAUAUCAUCAAACAUGCAUAAUUGUAGCUUAUGAUCAAACACAUGAUCAUCAAUGUCUCACAAACAUAGUAACUCAAGCAACCAAAAGCAAACAAGUUUAAAAAACCACCAAAUCAAGAGAGAACAAAAGCAACACACACUCUCUCGAAGCCUAUGAUCUAUACAUUUUUCUCCCCAUUUGGUAACAAGUUACCAAAAAGUUCAUAGAAAAUGCAUAGUGCUAGAUCGACUCUCAGGCUUGAUCUUCAGGUGGUGGUGUCUGGAUAACGCCGAGGACGAAAGCUUCAGUUGAAGUAGAUGGAGCUGGAGCUGGUGUAGGUGCUGGAGUUGGUGCAGACUUGGCCUUGGGGGCAGCUUUGGGUGCUUCCUUGGGCUUAGAUGUGGCAGCCCCUGAUCUUAUAGCAUCACCCAUAAGCUUUGGUGCCUUUGGUGCUGGUGCAACAAUCUCUUCUUCCUCUUCCAUCAUGGAAGGCUUCCCAAUAACUCUGACUGUGGUCUUCUUGACCCUUUCUUUCCUUUUCUUGCCUUCAGCAGCAGCUGGCUCCUUGGGAUCAGGCUUUUCAGGAAUUUGAGUUGAUGCUCUGACCUUUGGCAUAGGUGUCCUCUUGGCAGGAACCUUCUUAUUGAGUCUAGGUUUUGUGCUAUGUGCUGAGCCAUACUCCUUUUUGAGCACUGCCUUCUUGGAUGUUGCCUCAUCCUCUUCUGCCCUAUAAUCCUCAUCUUCAGAAUCUGAGGUUUUCUUCUUCCUUUGCCUGGUGGAAGCUUUAGGCAGAUUGCUUGGGGUGCUCCUGCUGCCUUCAACUGAAGAGCUGGAGGGACUAGUGCCCUCACUCAUGUUCACCUGCCCCUCUGACCUGUUCUGACUGUCACUCUGGUCUGACAUGCUGCAAAAGACUGACUGCUGACCCUGUGAAGAGUUAUAGAUGAGGUAGAGUGGAUGAGCAUCACAAAAUGCAGAGAUUUUGCAAAAGAAUGACUCAAAAAUUCAGUUUUAGUUUUCCACAGAAAGCAUUUAGGAUCUACCGAUUUUCAAACUCGGUGAUACCGAAGAAGUUUUGGAACCUAAACCGAUGAACUCGGUCAGACCGAGUCACAGUUCGGUGGCACCAAGACUGCUAGGGUUUCACAAAGUCCUAAAAUCGGUCUCACCGAUUAGCAAUUCUCGGUCAGACCGAGUCUCACUAGUGCAAUGGCAUAAGCCAAAUCGGUGGGAACGAGUUUUUCAACUCGGUGGGUCCGAGAUGGUUUCGACGGAAACCUAACCCUAAAUUUUCGAAUCAAAACUAUUCUAAGGAUUGUUGACUGGAUAGGAGUGUUUCAAUCAUGGCAAGAAUCAAUAAUAACACAAGGUGCUGAGAAUCGGACGAGGAAAGCACAGUGAUCGAGUCCAUACCCUAGUUCAGCGGAGACUCGCUACGGCGGCAACGGCGGGGUUGAAUUCCGUUGACGGCGGCGGAUACCAGCGACAGGGGGCGGCUGGCGACGAGGAGAUGAUCCGGAGACCACGGAGGCAGAGCGAGCUAUUGCGCGGGCGAAGAGGUUCGGAGAAAUUUCCAAAUUUUUGCCCGUGACUAUAUAUAGCCCAACCCUGUCGGUGUGACCGAGUGGAACAACUCGGUGGCACCGAGAUGCAAAACUGUGUACAGUUAUUGCAACUCGGUGUGACCGAAGAGUUCAAAUCGGUUGCACCAAGAUUGAAAACCUAGAUCGACUAAGUGAUCUCGGUAGGACCGAAAUGGAGGAAUCGGUCAGACCGAGAAUCACAAAGAAGUUUUGGAAGUUUAAGUCUAUGACGAAUCGGGGACUCCGAUUGCUCCUCACACAGAGUGGUUCGAAUCUGACUUGAUCAAAUUUUGUGAUGUAGCAUGAAUAGAGUUUGAGACGAGAAAAGCAUAGAUAGCUAGAGAAGGUUCUUAGGCGUUCUUGUCCAUCCACUUGGCCAAAGAAAAAGAAGCCAGUCAAUCAAAAAAACAAGUGGAUGUCCUCGAAUGAGUAAUGUAUGCAACCAACAUGCUCACACAAUGAGAUGGCAAAUGAAAUAUGUGGCAAAGCAUGCACAACCAAUUCUAGCAUCUAUCAAACAAUUGGCGAUGACUAGGUCAUCUAUAUAUGAGUAUAUUGACUUAGGAGUCAAAUGAGAACAUUUGAUCAUAGGUCAUACUCAUCGUUUAAGCUCAAGUGGGGUUACCACUUUUACAUAAAGCAUUUAUGUGUUCACAUCAUUAGAGUUUCUUUGACUCAAUUCUUAGAGUUAAGCUCCCCCUAGAUGUGAGAUCCUCCCAUAGAGGGAUAAACUAACCUUGGGUUUUGUCGAUGAUGAUUUCAUGUAGGUGUUGAAGAUGUGGAUGCUCAAUGUUGAUGUAGAUCUUUUUGGAGCAAUCCUUUGGAGUGAGUUGCACUUUCAAUACCUACAUGGGUUAGUCCCACAAGGAAGAAACAAGUAUAUCCAUAGACAUAGAGUGAUGCACACACAAAAUGAUGUCCAUGAAAACAUUAGGUUACCUUGUCCUUGCCUUACCAACAUGAGGGUUUGUCACUCCUUGAACUAGUGCAAGAUAUGGAAGUUGAUUGCACUUGUCCUUGCCAUAAUGAUAUGAGUGAAAUAUGUUGGCGGAGUCACCCUCAAGAACUCUCUAGUUCUUCUUCUUCGGGAUCCACAUCAUCUUGAUGGGAAUCCUUGGAGUUGUAGUUGUACUUGAUGAGGUAGAACUUGACGUAGUCUUGGGAAUCCACUUGACCAAGGCCUUAGGUGCUUCUUCAAAUGCAUCAAUCUCCUCUUGAAGCUUGUCCUUGCCUUUGUUCUUGUGGUCUUGUGGUGGAAGAUCAUCUUGUGCUUGUGUUCCCUUGAAGGAAGUAGGAUCAUACUUCUCUUGUUGAGGAACAAACUUCGUCUUGGGGUAUUGAUCUUCUUCCCACUCAACUCCAUUGGCAUUGAACUUUCGUUCAAAACCAACACCUUGAUUCUUCCGGUGCCUUCCUUCCUUGCGUACAAUUUCCUCGAAUUGCUUACUUCCGGCAAGGCUCUUGUAUACACCUUUCUCUAUAAUUCCCUUCAAUAAGCUAUUUUCUUGCUCAAGUGUAACUUGGCUAAGAGAAUCAUUAGUGGAAUCAAGAGAACUACUAGAAGCAACAAUAUUGGAUUUAGUAUUAUUAUUGUUACUACUAGAAGAAGAAUCUUUCUUGUUCUUGUUACUAGACUUGACUUGAGGCAUGUAAGUGGAUAAGAGUAAACGCUUGGCAAUGUAAGAAGAACUUUUCUUACGAAGAUCAUCAUUGAUUGCCUUUAAGAACUCAUGCUCUUGCUCAAGAUUGAGCUUUUCAAAGCGUAACUUCUCAUGAGCCCUUAAAAGUUCUCAAUGAUCUUCAAAGAUAGUUUCAUGAGCUAACUUAAGAGUGUUUAGUUCUUUAGUUAGACGCUCAAUUUUCUCCUUAUCAUUGUCAUUCGUUUCAACUUGAUUAGCAUGAUUAAUUGACAUUUCAUCAUAGUAUUCAUCACUAGAGUUGUCAACAAGUAAAUCAUCAUCACCUAGCAAGUCAUCUUCAUUACUAUUGAAAUCAACAUACUCGGGGUGUGUUACCUUUGGACCUUUGGCCAUGAAGCAUCUACCAAUUCCUUCAUUUGGUGACUCAAAUAUGUCGUAGGAGUUGGUUGACACAAGUCCUAGACCGGCAACACCUUCAUCUUGAGUAUAUUCGGAGUCGGAGUGAUGGUCGGAGUCAGAGCCAGAUACCCAUUCACCAACAUGAGCUUGAUGUCUUCGUUUUAUGUAGCUCUUUGAUGACUUGUCCUUCCUUUCCGAAUCCUUGCUUCUCCGUGAGGAUCUUCGUUCAUAACGAUCAUCUCUACUCCUUCUCUCUCUUGGUGGUGAUUCUUCUUUUCUACUUCUUCUUUUUGGAGAGUCUUCUCUUCUUUUGUAGGGUGCCGUACACUCAUUGGAAUAGUGUCCGGGUCUCCACAAUUGUAGCAAUUUCGCUCUCGACUAGAAGAUCUUUUGUCAUUGUAAGUCCUUGACUUGGAGCUUCUUUCUUUGCUUCUACUCUUGUAGAAUUUGUUGAAGUUCUUCACCAUUAAGCUCAAUUCUUCAUUGAAGGUGUGUUUCUCACUUGAUGAUGUGGGGGAUUCACUUGAGGCUUUGUAAGCACCACUUGACUUGUUGUGAAGUUCCUCCUUAUCCUUAAGUGACAUCUCAUGAGCAACAAUUCUUCCAAUGACUUCCGUUGGCUUGAGAUCUUUGUAGUUUGGCAUCAUUUGGAUCAAUGUGCACACGGUAUCAUACUUUCCAUCCAAUGCUCUUAGGAUCUUCUUGAUGAUGAAUCUGUCGGUCAUCUCUUCACUCCCUAAGCCGACAAUCUCAUUUGUGAUAAGUGCAAGCCUAGAGUACAUUUCAACGACACCUUCACCAUCCUUCAUUUUGAACUUGUCAAGCUGACUUUGGAGCACAUCCAACUUGGAUUCCUUGACGGAUUUGGUACCUUCAUGCAUAUGAAUCAAAGUAUCCCAAAUUUCCUUUGCAUUCUCAAGACGGCUGAUUUUGUUGAAUCCUUUGGGGCACAAUCCGUUGAAGAUGAUAUCACAAGCUUGAGCGUUGUAUUGCAACAUCUUCAAUUCUUCCACAUUAGCUUCACGGUUCGGCUCUCUCCCAUCAAAGAAUUCACCUUGCAAGCCAAUACAAAUAAUUGUCCAAAAGGCGGGGUUAUGUCCGAGAAUAUGCAUUUUCAUCUUAUGCCAACUAGCAAAAUUAGUACCAUCAAAGUAAGGACCUCUACGGUGAUAAUUUCCCUCGCUAGAUGCCAUACUCUCCUAGGUUGUGAAACCAAGGCUAUGACCACCAAAAGCUAUGGAAAUCAAGGCAAAUGGAGACCAAUGCUCUGAUACCACUUGUAGGACCUUGAAGUAUGUCUAGAGGGGGGGUGAUUAGACUACUUGACCAAUUAAAAACUUAGCCUUUUCCCAGUUUUAGAGUUUGGCAGAUUUUAGCUAUCUUAGGACAAGUCCAGCAAUCAUCACACAAUUCAAGCAAGCAUGCAAAGAGUAUAUUGGCAGCGGAAAUUAAAGCAUGCAACUUGCAAGAAAGUAAAGGGAAGGGUUUGGAGGAUUCAAACGCAAUUGGAGACACGGAUGUUUUUGGUGUGGUUCCGAUAGGUGGUGCUAUCGUACCUCCACGUUGAUGGAGACUUCAACCCACGAAGGGUAACGGUUGCGUGAGUCCACGGAGGGCUCCACCCAUGAAGGGUCCACGAAGUAGCAACCUUGUCUAUCCCACCAUGGCCGUCGCACACGAAGGACUUGCCUCACUAGCGGUAGAUCUUCACGAAGUAGGCGAUCUCCUUGCCCUUACAAACUCCUUGGUUCAACUCCACAAUCUUGCCGGAGGCUCCCAAGUGACACCUAGCCAAUCUAGGAGACACCACUCUCCAAGAAGUAACAAAUGGUGUGUUGAUGAUGAACUCCUUGCUCUUGUGCUUAAAAUGAUAGUCUCCCCAACACUCAACUCUCUCUCAUAGGAUUUGGAUCUGGUGGAAAGAAGAUUUGAGUGGAAAGCAACUUGGGGAGGGCUAGAGAUCAAGAUUCAUAUGGUAGGAAUGGAAUAUCUUGGUCUCAACACAUGAGUAGGUGGCUCUCUCUCAGAAAUGGUAAGUUGGAAGUGUAGGUUUGUUCUGAUGGCUCUCUCCACGAAUGAAGAGGAGGUGGAGGGGUAUAUAUAGCCUCCACACAAAAUCUAACCGUUACACACAAUCUACCAAUCUCGGUGGGACCGAAUCAACAAACUCGGUCAGACCGAUUUUAGUAAACCUAGUGACCGUUAGGGUUUUUGGUCGGACUGACUUGCAUCUCGGUAGGACCGAUAUGGUUAGGGUUAGGGCAUAACGUAAUCUCGGUGAGACCGAUUACACAAACUUGGUGAGACCGAUUUUGGUAAUUAGCUAACCAGAGAGUUGGUCAGGUAAACUCAGUGGGACCGAUUCGCUCUUUCGGUGAGACCGAAACGUUACGAAAGGGAAACAGAAAGGUUGCAUUGCAAUCUCGGUGGGACCGAUCUGCUCUUUCGGUGAGACCGAAAAGUUACGAAAAGGAAACAAAGAGAUUACAAUCCCAUCUUGGUGAGACCGAGAUCCCUAUCGGUAGAACCGACUUGCCUAGGGUUUGUGGCAGUGGCUAUGACAUUUGGAAUCGGUGGCGCCGGAUAGGAAGAAUCGGUGAGACCGAUUUUGGCUUUAGGUUUAGGUCAUAUGUGGAUGUGAGAAAGUAGCUGAAGGUUUUGGAGCAUAUCACUAAGCACAUGAAGCAAGAGGCUCAUUAAGCAACACCUCAUCCCUCCUUGAUAGUAUUGGCUUUUCCUAUGGACUCAAUGUGAUCAUCAAUCACUAAAAUAUAGAAUGAAGAGUCUUGAGCUUUUGAGCUUGAGCCAAUCCUUUGUCAUUAGCAUUUUGAGGGAUCCACUUUCAUCAUCCAUGCCAUGCCAUUCAUUGAGCUUUCUUGAAAUGUUCAUCUUGGAAUAGCAUUAGCUCAAUGAGCUAUAUGUUGUUAUGAAUUACCAAAACCACCUAGGGAUGGUUGCACUUUCACUCACCUAUUCCCACGUGACCAGGGGGUUUGGUCCGCCCCAUCUAGGGUUCCCACCUCCUGGCUUGGGGGCCAAGUCACCCAAAGGGGAGAUCCCAUCUGCCCUGGCCGCCGCCCCCCUAGGGGAAACCCUAGGGUGCCUCCCCCUCCCCCUUGCCCCUAUAUAUAGUGGAGGUUUUGGGGCUGCCCAACACAUGAGUCUCUCUCUCCCAAGGCACAACCCUACCUCUCUCCCUCCUUGUCUCUCGUAGUGCUUGGCGAAGCCCUGCUGGAGUACCGUGCUCCUCCACCACCACCACGCCGUCGUGCUGCUGCUGAACGGAGUCUUCCCCAACCACCUCCUCUCUCCUUGCUGGAUCAAGGCAUGGGAGACGUCACCGGGCUGCACGUGUGUUGAACACGGAGGCGCCAUUGUUCGGUGCUUAGAUCGGAAUCGACCGUGAUCUGAAUCGCCACAAGUACGACUACCUCAUCCGUGUUCUUGCAAUGCUUCCGCUUAGCGAUCUACAAGGGUAUGUAGAUGCACUCUCUCUCUCUCUCUCGUUGCUAGAAUCUCCAUAGAUUGAUCUUGGUGAUGCGUAGAAAAUACUGAAUUUCUGCUACGUUCCCCAACAAAAAAUGUCAGAUCCUGAUGCAGCAAGUUGGCGGAUGAAGAAAUCCUGUGCAUUCAGGCUUUUGCCAUGAAGAAUAUGGAAGACCAAUGUCUUUAUUGCACCUUCUAGCUUAGCCUUUGGAGAAUGUCCUUUGAUGGGCCAGAGAGUUCGCCUUAUGAUGUGAUAGAUUGUGCGUGGCAGAUACUCAAGGUCAUCAACAAAGAACUCCGUAGGAUAUUCUGCAUCUGGAGGCAAUGGCUUCAUCAUGCUGAGCAUCUGGCUCAUGUCGGGUUCUGACUUGUGAAAGAUGCUUUCCAAAGCUGCAGUGUGAAGCUGAUAACCAGGCUCAUAGAGAUCCCCUGGAGUGGGCAGGCCAGUAAGCUCAAUGACAUCAAAUGCUUUGGCUUCAUGAUGGACAUUUCCUGUCAUCCACUCAAGCAUCCAAGUCUUAGGAUCCCUGUAGUAGCCUCUGAUAUGAAGAGUGUCAUAGAAUUGAAGCAGCAACUCUUCAUUCCAGUGCUCCUUAUCAGUGACAAAGUGCAGCAAGCCAGCCUCUCUGAAGCAAUCGAGAGCUUCUUCUAAGAAGGGCAGGACAACUAUGGCUUUAGUAUCAAGGCGCAUAUGCGGAAGUAUGCGGCCUUGGUUGUACAGAAUGCAUGAAUAAUAGCGGCGCUGCUGAUAACUCUAGAACCGAUUAGAUGAAAUCUUGGGCCUGGUGUAGGGGUUCUUUGCUCUAUCGAAGAAGGUGUUGUGUGCAAUGAAGCCGUUGACAUUGAAAGAUCCUGGCGAAGUGGCGGUACCUGGAAAUUUGGGCAGUCUUGGCUUUGGCUUCUGAACCUGAGGCCUGUGCUCGACAUGGUAAUCAAAUUGAGGACCAGCAGCAGGUGGAGGAAUCAGAAUAGGCCAUCUGACAGUGAUAAGCUGGCCAUAGUUGUAUGCUUGCUCGAUAGUAUGUGGCCUUGGAGGCGGAACAGGAGCAGUGGCAUUGACUUCAGGCUACAGAUUUGUGUCAGGUGCGGCAUUGACUUCAUCUUCUUCAUGGGCUUCAUUGGCUUCAUUGGCCACUGGUGCAUUGGCCACUGUAGGCUCCACAUUGGCUUCGGCCAUGACAACGUCAUUGGCUUCAGGAAUGUCAUUGGUGGUAGCCUCAGGAUUUUCACCCUCCACUUGAGUAGCUGGAGGUUCUGGCAUAGACUGGUUCUCUUCAGGAACUUCUUCUUGAGUUGUAGGGGGAGUAGCGACACGCUCUUCUUCUUGUGUUGCUCUAGCUGAUGCAGCCGGAGGGUCUUCAGCAGCAUUGGCUUCAGACACAGGGAUCGUCACAGAAGGAUUGUCUUCAGGAAACACUUGACGUGCCACUGAACUUGACAAGUUUGAGCCCUUUUCUGUGAUGGUGGUCAUGGAGACGGAUGGUCUCAGGCCUUUGCGAAGCCAUUGGAAUACGGGCGAUGCCUUUGGUGAUGGUGAUGUCUCCAUGUAGUUGUCAUCAUUGGACAUGGGGCUGAUGACGGGCACAGAUGACGGUUGGGGUGUACUUGGUGAGUCUUGAUGUGGGGUAGCUUGCUGGGGGCGAUCAACCCACGAUGCAUCUUGUGAGAUUGGUGUCAAAGGACGACCAAUACUGAUAAGCUCACUGUUCGUUUGAACAGGCGAUGAUACCGUUGGGCGCUCGAUCUGAGGAAGAACUACAUCAUCUUGUACAAUGUCUUCAGUCGCGAUGGGGUCAACGACUGGAACUUCUUGAGAUUCAGGAGCCUCUGUGGAAGUAGGCUCAUGAACAAUCAUCCGACGCUCUUGGUUUGCAGACGAAGGGGGAACAAAAGCAAGGGGUUCAACAAUAAGGGGCUCUGUGGGAGCAGCCCGAUCUCUCUUCUUGGGUUUUCUCUUCUUGGGGGGUGGUGCUUCAUCAGUGGUGCGCUUGGUUUUCCGCUUCCUGGCUUCGGCUUCAGCUGCCUUGGUUUUCUUAUGUUCAGAAGCCGCUGAAGGAGCCUUGGGCUUCGAGCCGUGCAUGCUAGCAGGGAAGACAAUGUGUGGUUCUUCCUGCCGUGGUGCUUCAGUGUUGGCUUCAGAUGACUUCUUUUUCUUGGCAGCCAUUGAGGGGUCAAUGUCAGGGCGGCCAAGUGCCUUGCGCUUUUCAGCUUCAUUGUAGGCUUGAACGCAUUUGUCUGCCAGUGCUUUCAUGCGCUCUCUUGAGCCUUUGGCUUCCUCGCGUUUCUUCCGAAACGACUCCUUGAGGUCAUUGAGUAUCACCUUGAACUUUUGCAUAUCAGCCACAUUCAGCUUGGCUACAUGCUUCUUGAACUGUUCCUUCUCAAAGUCUAUCUUUCGCUUCAGUUCAACUAUGCACUGAGCCAGAGCAAGCUCAGGAGCAAUGGUGCCUUGGAAAGCAACGCUGACGCCAAUGGGAAGCUGAAGGUCAUCAAAGCUGAGAUCUUGAUUGUCAAACCACUCAUCAAUGAAGUUCUUCAGAAUGUUUACAUCAGAGGGGCAGAUCAUUGAAGAUCUCCGCCUCUUGCUUGCUCUUGAUCAGCUGCUCCAGAGCAUCUUCACCAAAUUCUUCAUCUGAAGACAAGUCAAUGGCUUCAGAUUCAUUCCUCAGAAUGGCAGCAGGUGUCAGUGCAUGACUCAGUUGCUGAACUGGUGUCUUCUGUGUCUUCUCACGCCUCAUCCAGAUGCGAGAGAGAUCUUCAGAGAUAUUACUGGGAGCAGAAGGGGCAGUUGCCAAUGGCUUCACUCUUGAAGCUUUUGGAGCAGCAAGUGAUUUUGAAGCUUUAGUCUUCUUCUGCUUCUGCGGCUUUGGAGCAGGAGCUGGAGCUUCAUCGGUGUCAGCAUCAUCAUCAGAAUGAUCCACUUUGGCACCUUGAACAGUGAUGUGAGUGAUAAGUCCAGGAAGGUUGUAGAAGGGGCCGAUCCUGUUCUCAUUGGCUUCACGGGUGCCAUUGUCCCGAGGUGAGGAAGGACCAGGGUUGAAGUCAAGCCCUAAAUCCUUCUUGUUCUUUGCAGCUGAGUCUUUGGCGAACUAGUAGUUGCGCUUGAACAGAUUGUCUUCACGACACCAGAGCAGUGAAGAAGGGUCAGCAUUUUCAGGCUGUGGUCCGCGCACCAUGCAAGGAUAGAAGCCUUGCUCAAUAGCUUCAGCCUGAGUCCUGGGUGGAAGAUUUUUGUACAGAAUAUCACCCCAGGGUGCCUUGAUGGCAUUCUUCCUAGCAUAUUCUUGAGUGAUGAAGUGAUAUUUAAACCAUUCUUCUGCCCAAUAUCUUCGAAUCCAUUGGAUUCGAUUGCGUUCAGCAUAGGUUUCUUUUGAAUCAGUUUUGUACAUCUCGUGCAAAUCUGGAGGUAAGUCCUUGGAAGUGUUACCACGACGCUGUUUGCCUCCCUUUCUUGCUGAAUUUUCAGUUGCCAUGAAGUGUAAACUGAAGGGCUUCAGUACGUGCAAUGGCUUCAAAUGGAUGGACUGACAGGAACUCACUUCAGGUGAGUUGACGUGACUCUGCAAGAAUUUUGCAAACGAAUGCAGACUAUGAGAACCAAGGGAUUCUCCCACGGACAUGUACCUGUGACAGCAUUAAAGGUGCGAGGGAAGGGGAGGAGGUCAUAUGCAUUCUCAGAAGAUUUUGAAGAUAAAUCAGUUUGAAGACAUUGACCUCAUAACGGGAAGACAUUCACUUAUAUGAUGAGAGUUGGUUCCAGAGUUGUACAAAUCCAAGAAUAAGUACAAGUGAGGAAUCUAACUUGUAAAGAAGCAUAAGUGAAUAUACUAGGCAGAGUAUGAGAUGCAGAAAGAGAUAGAUUCAUGUUUGGAGAUCUAGAAACCACUUUUGGUAGGAAAGGAUGAAUCUAUCAGAUCAAAAAGAUGGUAAAAAGUAAACUUUUAUUACCACACGAAGAACUGCUAGACGAAGCGAAGAUGGAUGCCGAGCAGUUCGAUCUCCCGUGCCCUAACUUGGCGACGGAAGACACCUACGGCGACGGCGGAGAAGACGAGGUCCGCGGCCGGCGUGAGGACGACAUCGAGGAAGUCGCGGCAGCUAAGUGCUCCGCCGUCGGCGUCGUCGAGAGCUAGCGGAGACGCUUGGGUUUGCGAAAGAUGGCGAAGGAGGAAGAAGGAUUUUUGACCGAGGCGAGACAGGUAUUUAUAAGGACAGAGACAACACAAUGCAAUUACGCAGGUGCCCCUGGUGGUUCACAUCUGAAAGACACGUGGCUAACAUGCAACUCAUUGAGAGUUGUUCCACGUUCCCACGCGCGCCUGGAUUGUCGGGGUGGUCGUUCCGAAUUCUCCGGAUUUCGGGCAAAAGGAUAUGUCAUUAAAACUAGAUAUAAAUGUUUGUCUCUGUAUCUUCUGCUGACAAGGACGCAGAGAAGACAUUCGACAGUUUCAACAGAAUGCAUAUGAUUUGGAUAGAUAGAGCUUGAGGUAGAAAGCACAGAGAGGUUAGGGUCCGAUCACAUUCACUUAGUUCAAAAUAUUCAAACAAGAAGACAUAGCCAUAAGUGAAUGCUGUAGAGGACAGAAUACUGUAUAUAUGGCGCCAUGAGGAAAGCCAAAUCAAUAAUCACGAAGUCAUCAAAAUACUGUAUAUAUACAGAAUACUGUAUAUAUAUAUAUGACAGAGUAAAGCCAAAUCAAUAAUCACGAAGUCAAAUUAACGUUGAAGAUAAAUCAAUUGCGAAGACUUUGCAAAUAUGGCGCCAUGAGGAAACACUUCAUAAGAGUUUGGUGGUGGCGUUACCCAUUGUAUAUGAAGUAUUAGACCCAGACACGGCGCACAAUUAUCGUGGCGCUCUGAAGUCAAUUUCCGCAUUAAUGUAUUCACACUUAGAGUGUAUGUCUUCAUUGAUUGAAGAUAUACAUUACUUCAUGUGUUGCACAUCUAAGUCAUCAAAAUGCAUAAGUGUUAGGAUGUGUGCCUAAUCACAGGACCUUCGAGGAUUCCAAGAUAUUUAGCUCACACCGCAACUUGCAAAACCUUUUCUCAUCCAAGGGCUUAGUGAAGAUAUCAGCCAACUGCUCUUCUGUCUUGACAUGAAUGAUAUCAAUAUCUUCUUUCAUAACAUGAUCUCUAAGGAAGUGAUGACGAACUUCAAUGUGCUUUGUCUUCGAGUGCUGAACUGGGUUAUUAGCAAUCUUGAUAGCGCUUUCAUUAUCGCAGUAGAGUGGCACAUGCUUCAGAUGGAUGCCAUAGUCCUUAAGAGUUUGCUUCAUCCACAGAAGCUGAGCGCAGCAAGAUCCAGCAGCAAUGUAUUCUGAUUCAGCAGUUGAGAGUGAUACACAGUUCUGCUUCUUUGAAGACCAACAGACAAGAGAUCAACCCAGAAAGUGACAUGUGCCUGAUGUAGACUUGCGGUCCACCUUGUCACCAGCAUAAUCAACAUCCGAAAAUCCAACCAUAUCAAACUCUGAGCCCUUUGGAUACCACAAUCCUAGUGUUGGGGUGUAAGCCAAAUAUCAAAGAAUUCGCUUCACAACUAAGUGAUGCGACUCCUUUGGUGCCGCUUGAAAUCAGGCACACAUGCAAACACUAAGCAUGAUAUCUGGCCUAGAUGCACAUAAGUAAAGUAAAGAGCCAAUCAUGGAGCGGUAUACCUUUUGAUCGAAAUCUUUACCAUUGGCGUCGGGGCUUAGAUGACUUUUGGUUGGCAUUGGCGUCGUGAAUCCUUUGCAGUCUUGCAUUCCAAACUUCUUCAGGCAAUCUUUGAGAUAUUUUUCUUGAGAUAUGAAGAUGCCGUUGCGUUGCUGACGGAUUUGAAGACCGAGAAAGAACUUCAGCUCUCCCAUCAUGGACAUUUGAUAUUGUUCUUGCAUCAUGUGACCAAAUUCAUCACUGUAUUUCUUGUUGGUGCAACCGAAGAUAAUGUCAUCCACAUAGAUUUGGCACACAAACAGUUCACCAUCGUAUGUCUUCGUGAAGAGAGUGGGAUCUAGAGAACCAGGUUUGAAGCCUUUGCUCUUCAGGAAGUCUUUGAGUGUGUCAUACCAAGCACGAGGGGCUUGUUUGAGGCCAUAUAGUGCCUUGUUGAGCUUGUAUACCAUAUCAGGAUGUUUUGGGUCUUCAAAGCCAGGCGGUUGUGCAACAUACACUUCUUCUUCAAUCUUUCCAUUGAGAAAGGCACUCUUCACAUCCAUUUGAUAUAGAAGGAUGUUAUGAUGAUUUGCGUAAGCUAGCAGUAUGUGAAUGGCUUCAAGCCUAGCCACUGGAGCAAAUGUUUCAUCGAAGUCAAUUCCUUCAACUUGUGUGUAUCCUUGAGCAACGAGCCGUGCUUUGUUUCUGACAACUUGACCAUGCUCAUCUUGUUUGUUGCGAUAUAUCCAUUUUGUGCCUAUUAUGUUGUGCUUGCAAGGAUCAGGACGCUUGACUAGUUCCCACACAUUGUUCAGCUCAAACUGUUGAAGCUCGUCUUGCAUAGCUUGAAUCCAUUCAGGUUCCAUGAAGGCUUCAGCAACUUUCUUGGGUUAAGAGAUUGAGACAAAUGCAAAGUGCCCACAGAAAUUUGCUAGCUGUGUUGCUCUUGAACGAGUGAGUGGUCCAGGUGCAUUGAUGCUAUCAAUUAUCUUCUCAAUUUGUACUUCAUUUGCAACACGAGGAUGAACUGGACGAAGAUUUUGCUCAUGCUGAUCAUUGUCAUCAUUUGAAGGAUUGUCUUCAGGCUGAGCAAUGUCUUCAGGUUGAUCAGAUGCAGAAAUGAUAAGUUCUUCUUCAGGCUGGGCCCCUGAUGGUAUGAUCUCUCCUGUUCCCAUUAGCUUGAUUGAUUCACUGGCAGGUACUCCAUCUAGCACAUUUGGCAGGUGCUCUCUUUGCAAGCCGUUAGUUUCAUCAAACCGCACAUCCACAGUUUCAACCACUUUAUAGUGAAAGAGGUUGAAGACUCUGUAGGAGUGCGAGUCCUUUCCAUAACCAAGCAUAAAACCCUCAUGUGCUUUCGGUGCAAAUUUUGAAGUGUGAUGUGGAUCCUUGAUCCAGCACCUAGCACCAAAUACUCUGAAGUAGCUUACGUUUGGCUUCUUACCAGUUAGAAGCUCAUAGGAUGUUUUCCUCACAAGCUUGUGAAGACAAACACGGUUGAUGACAUGGCGUGCAGUAUCAAUGGCUUCAGGCCAGAAUUUUCUUGGAGUCUUGUAUUCGUCAAGCAUCGUUCGAGCCAUCUCAAUAAGGGUUCUGUUCUUGCGCUCCAUGAUGCCAUUCUGGUGAGGUGUGUAAGGAGCAGAAAACUCAUGAGUGAUGCCUAAGGUAUCAAGAUAAAGGUCGAGGCCUGUGUUCUUGAAUUCAGUGCCGUUUUCACUCCUAAUGUUCUUGAUCUUGACGCCAUAGUUGUUCAUGGCGCGAUUGGCGAAGCGUCUGAAGACAUCCUGCACUUCAGUCUUGAAGAGAAUUAUGUGCACCCACGUAUAUCUUGAAUAAUCAUCAACAAUAACGAAACCAUAGAGACAAGCAGUUGCAGUGAGAGUAGAGUAGUGAGUGGGACCAAACAAAUCCAUGUGGAGCAACUCAAAAGGUCGAGAUGUAGUCAUGAUUGUCUUCAAGGGAUGCUUGGCCCUUGUCAUCUUCCCAGCUUCACAAGCUCCACACAGAUGAUCUUUCUUGAACUUGAUGCCUUCGAUGCCUAUGACGUGCUUCUUCUUGGCGAGAGUGUGUAGGUUCCUCAUGCCAGCAUGCCCUAGCCUCCGAUGCCAGAGCCAUCACUCUGAAGACUUUGCUAGAAGACAUGCGCCCAUCUGUGGUCCUGCUGAGAAGUCUACCAUGUACAGAUCAUCUUUCCUGUACCCUUCGGAGACUAGAGACUUGUCAGAUUCCAUUAGUACAAGGCAACAAUAUUUUCCAAAUAGCACAAUCAUGUUUAAGUCACAAAGCAUCAAGACAGACAUUAAGUUGAAACCAAGGGAUUCAACAAGCAUCACUUUGUCCAUGUGCUGAUCCCUUGAGAUUGCAACUCUACCUAGGCCCAAUACCUUGCUUUUACUAGUGUCAGCGAAUGUGAUGUGACUUUUAUCACAUGGACGUAAGGUUAAGUCCGUGAGAAGACUUCGAUCACCAGUCAUGUGGUUAGUGCAUCCGCUGUCCAUAUCCAUUCUGAAGCACGAGGUGUCAUACCCUACAGUGCAGUUAGGAGGAUAGGCUUCACAGAGAGUAUUGUGAAGCAAAAACAUUUGACGCACAAGAGGAUUAUCAAAGCUCAGAUCAAGGUUAGGACUGAUAGUAUGACUGGCAAGCGAUUCAGGAACGAAAUACAUAGUAAGACCAUUUGGGAAUUUUAUCUUGCGUCCCAUAAUGUGUUUUAGGUCCCCAGCAAUAGCAUCGGACGCCUUUGAUUUCCGGCUGGAGACCUUUCCCUGCAAAAGAAAGUUAAUUCUUCUUAACCACCCACAUCUUCAGGGGUGGCUUAGAAGCAAUGAGUCUAAAGUGCAGCAUCUGAGAACUUCGGCUUUGGAGCCCUAGCAAAUAGCCUUGCAGGAGAAGAACGAUACUCAUAUGAAUAAGCAGAAAAGUUCUUAGUUCUAUGAACAUAGCUAUUUGAAGACACACGCUCAUAUUCAUAAGUAUGAGAAUGGUUUCCCUGCAAAACAUUGGCGUUAGGGUGACUCAGGUGAGUCCUGUAUCUGUAUGAAGCCUUUGGGCCAUAUGAAGCCAUAGGUCUAGGGUUUGUCUUCUUCCUUGGUGGUGUCAUGAUGACAUUCACAUGAAGAUUCUCAAUACACUGUUUAGGUACCCAGAUCUUCUUCAUAGGUGGUCCAUUCCUGCAGUUAGUACCAAUAUACCUGGCAAACACUUCACCAUUCUGAUUCUUAAACAGUUUAUAGUUUGCAUCAAAGGAUUCACCAAUAGCAAUUGGGUUAGCACAAGUAAAUCCAGAUAAGGUAGAUGGAUCCAUUGAAGGUUCCUUUGCAGCAACCCAUGUGGUUUUGGACUACUGCUCAGGCUUCCAGUAAGAACCAUCAACAUUCAUUUUCCUCUCGAACCCAACACCCUCUUUCGUAGGGUUUCGGUUCAAGAUCUGCUUUUUGAGGACAUCACACAGUGUCUGAUGCCCCUUGAGGCUUUUGUACAUUCCUGUUUCAAGCAAUGUCUUCAAUCUAGCAUUUUCAUUAGCAACAGCAGUGGCAUCCUCUGCAGAGGGGUUAGUUACCACAUCGACGAUUGAAGAUAUUGAAACGGUAGCAGCAGUAGAACACUCAGCAACAGAAUUAGCGUUAUCACGCUCAAGACAUUUUAAACAUGGUGGUUCAAAUCCUUCCUAAGCGGGACUGAUCUGUUGAGCGCGAAGUGACUCGUUUUCCUUUUAAAGAUCUUCAUGAGCCGCUCUCAACUUCUCAAGAUCUUGCUUCCUUUGAAGAUAAUCAUAGGAAAGCUUUUCAUGGGUAGUUGAGAGUGAUUCAUGACGACCUUCAAGCUCUUGGUACUUAACAUGAAGAUUUUUUAUAUCUUCAAUUAAGGACUGAGAUCAGGUCAUUUCAGCGUCCAACAUAUCAUCGCUUUUGUCUAACAGUUUUUGAAUAUGUUCCAUAGCUUUAUGUUGUUCAGUUGCAAUUUUAGCAAGUGUUUUGUAGCUGGGUUUGGAUUCACAAUCAGAAUCAUCUUCACUUGAUGUUUGAAAGUAAGCAUCGCAUGAGUUUACCUUGGCACCGCGUGCCAUGAAGCAGUAAGUGGGAGCGGAGUCGUCCUUGUCACUGGCAUCAGAGUUGGUGAUGGAUACAUUGUCUUCAGCGUUGAAGAUGGACUUGGCAACGUAGGCUGAAGCUAAAGCCAGACUUGCAACGCCAGAGUCAGACUACUCCUCGGAUUCCACCACUUCUGCCUCCUCAGAAGCAGACUCCUCCUCUGAAUCCAUUUCCUUGCCAACAAAAGCACGAGCCUUGCCAGACGAACUUUUCUUGUGUGAUGAAGACUUGGAAGUUGACUUGGAAGAAGAUUUUGAGUAUUUCUUCUUCUUCUUGUCAUCAGAAUCAUAUUCCUUGCUCUUCUUCUUUUUCUUCUCAUUGUCCCACUUUGGACACUCAGAGAUGUAGUGACCAGGUUUCUUGCACUUGUGACAGGUUCUCUUCUUGUGGUCACUGGAAGAAGCUUCAUCAUUUCUUGAUAUGGAUCGUGAAGACUUUCUGAAGCCUUUCUUCUUAGUGAACUUCUGGAACUUCUUCACAAUCAUAGCAAGCUCCUUUCCAAGGUCUUCAGUUUCACCACAACUGCAGUCAGAUUCUUCUUCAGAUGAGGAAACAACCUUUGCCUUCAAAGCGCGAGUUCGGCCAUAGUUGGGACCAUAGAUAUCUCUUUUCUCAGAUAGCUGGAACUCAUGUGUGUUAAGCCUCUCAAGUAUGUCAGAUGGAUCGAGUGUCUUGAAGUCAGGUUGUUCUUGAAUCAUAAGAGCUAGAGUGUCAAAUGAGCUGUCAAGAGAUCUCAGAAGCGUCUUGACGAUUUCAUGCUUGGUGAUCUCAGUGGCGCCGAGAGCCUGAAGCUCGUUUGUGAUGUCAGUGAGACGAUCAAACGUGAGCUGGACAUUUUCAUUGUCAUUUCUCUUGAAGCGGUUGAAGAGGUUGCGUAGGACACUGAUUCUUUGAUCUCUCUGAGUUGAAACACCUUCAUUGACUUUGGAGAGCCAGUCCCAGACUAGCUUCGAUGUUUCCAAAGCACUCACAUGACCAUACUGCCCUUUGGUCACAUGACCACAGAUAAUGUUCUUCGCAGUAGAAUCGAGUUGAAUGAACUUCUUGACAUCAGUAGGGGUGACACCUUCACCAGUCUUGGGAACGCCGUUCUUGACGACAUACCACAGAUCGACAUCAAUGGCUUCAAGAUGCAUACGCAUCUUAUUCUUCCAGUAGGGAUAUUCAGUGCCAUCGAAGACAGGGCACGCAGCGGAGACUUUGAUUAUCCCUGCAGUCGACAUAGCUAAAACUCCAGGUGGUUAAAUCGAAUCACACAGAACAAGGGAGUACCUUGCUCUGAUACCAAUUGAAAGUGCUAGUUAUCGACUAGAGGGGGGGUGAAUAGGCGAUUUUUACGAAAGUCUUCAAAACAUGAAAGUUUCAAAGACAAUCAUGAAAACUGGACCUAUAAAUAUGCAGCGGAAGAUGAACUACACUAGACAAGCCAUAGUCAAACAAGUAUGAAGCUAAAGCAUGAUGACUGAUAGCAGCUAUGUAGUAGGAUCAGGAUGGAAGAUAGUAUGAAGCCAAUCAGAACAAGUAGUCACACAGUGAAGACAAAUAGGUAGAGUAAUCAGGCAAUGACUUCACAAAGACAAACUGUAAGUAAGGAGAGUAAGAGAUAGAACCAGUGUGUUGUGAAGACAAGAAUUUGUUCGACCAGUUCCAGUUGCUGUGACAACUAUAUGUCUGGUUAGGGAGGUUGAGAUUGAACUCAGAAGACCGCGUCUUCACCUUAUUCCCCUUGAGCUAAGGACACACAGUCCCCGCCCAAUCACUCUGUUAAGUCUUCAAGGUAGACUUCCAAACCUUCACAGACUUCGUUCACCGGCAAUCCACAAUUACUCUUGGAUGCUCAGAACGCGACACCUAACCGGCUGGAGGAUUCACGGUCCUCAAGUGUAACAAGUCUUCAGAUCACGCGGACAGAAAGACUUCAGUGAUGCCUAACACUCUUUGGCUCUGGGUGUUUGGGCUUCAUCCUCACAAGGAUUUCUCUCUCUCAAAAGCUUCAGAGGUGGGUUGCUCUCAAACGACAAAAGCCGUGCACUAACUCUGACCAGCCACCAAUUUAUGGUGUAGGGGGUGGGCUAUUUAUAGCCACUAGGCAACCCGACCUGAUUUGUCUGAAAUGACCCUGGGUCACUAAGGAACUGACACGUGUCACAACGGUCAGAUUUCAAACACACGCGACAGCUUGACUUGGGCUACAAGUAAAGCUGACUUAUCCGACCCUGGAUAAGAUUUGCUCUCAUUGUCUUCGCUUGAAGACAUAGGAUUUUGGUUGAGCAUCACUUCAGUCACUCUGACUUUAUUCACUUGGACCCCACUUAACAGUGCAGUUGUUCCUAUGACUCAACAAAGAAGAAAAGAAACAACGAAACUGCUAAGUCUUCGCGCUCCAUAGUCUUCACUCAAUGUCUUCUACAGUCAUAGUCUUCAAUGUGAAUAUCUUCACGUACCACCAUUAUCUUCAAUGUCUUCAUAUAUACAUUUUUAGGGGUCAUCUCCGGUAGGUAAACCGAAUCAAGGAGAGACUACUACCUGUGUUAUCCUGCAAUUCUCACAAACACAUUAGUCCCUCAACCACGUUUGUCGUCAAUACUCCAAAACCAAACUAGGGGUGGCACUAGAUGCACUUACACCUUCUUCCACCUAUUGUCCUCCCCUAUUCACCUUCUUCCUCAACCUGUCCAUGACCAUCGGCCGAACCACCUGCCUCCGCCACCCCUCUCUCCUCACCAUCGUGUUGGUGCUACCCUGGCCAUCCCUCUAAACAGACAAACCACUAGAAUUUCUCUGCGAGCCCGCAGCCCGAACCAUUAACCUUCGAACUCGCCUCCAGCGGCUACGACUCGUUCCUAGCCGAGGCCUUGCCGACAUCUUGCCCCGGUGCCACCAAGGUGAACACCAUGUCCCGCUGCGCUUCCUUCUUCCUUCCCAAUUAAAUCAACUGAGCCAAAUCCAAAAAUCAGGCAACUUCUGCCGGCUCAAUUGGAGAAAAAGACCAACAUGAACGCAUAUAUAACAUAUAACACUAACUCAUUUGGUCUACAAAUGUAAAGCUGGUUCAUCUAAAUUUAAGCUGGAAAUAUAGCUGCAAAACCAACAAACCAAAAAUAGCACGCACAGACCAAAAGCAAAGUGUUUCUUUUAUCAAAAUCAGCGGUAUCAUUAUAAGCAUUUGGGCAAUGACUAGAUUUUAGUAGUCCUUAAGCACGCACAUGCUUUGCCCUUGCAACAACAAAUUUGUAGCCCAACACAAAAUGUGUUGGCAGGGCUCUAGAGCAAACGGGAUACUUUUCGAGGAUGCAUACGAUAAAUAGGCCCGGACAGGCCAGGCGAGCACGAGCCAUCGGAAGCGGUAAACCCUAUUUGGCCCGGACGGGCCAGGUGAGCACGAGCCAUCGGACGCGGCAAACCCUAUUUGGCGCUGCAGGCGCCAAUUAACGUGUAUUUUGCAAACUGACACCUGCAGCGCCCUGCACUGGGCCGGCUCAUUCGAGUAUUUUUCUUUAUUUUUCGAAAACGAUUCGAGUAUUUUUCUCUAUUUUUCAAAAACGCCAAAAAGUGCUCGCACAGCAAAGUUCGACCCCUCAACCUCUCUGAUCCAACCGCUACGCACUAACCACCUCGCCAUCACCACGCUAGUGCACAAAAAGUUCGUUUCUCUUCUUAUAAUCCUUAUUCAGUUUGGUUUAUACUUUUUCUUUUUUUCUCAUUCUUUUUUGUUUUCUUUAAUGCACCGUUUUAUAAAUUUCGUGUACCUUUUUCUAAAUUUAUGAACUAUUUUUCAAAUUUGAUGAACUUUUUCUGAAAUUUGAUGAACUUUUCUCAAUGUCGAUGCACUUUUUUAAAUUUCGGUGAACUUUUUUUCAAAUAUGGUGAACUUUUCUCAAAUCCGAUGAACUUUUCUCAAUUUCGAUGAACUAUUUCAAUUUCGGUGAACUGUUCGAUAAACUUCUUUCAAAUACAGUGAACUUUUUUCAAAUUUGAUGAACUUUUUUUGAAAUUCGAUGAACUUUUUCAAUUUAGGUGAACUCCUUUCAAUUUCGGUGAACUUUUUUUCAAAUUCGAUGAACUUUUUUUUAAAAUUCGAUGAAUUUUUUUCAAAUUCACAAUCUUUUUUCUAUUUUUGUGAACUUUUCUUUUGAAUUCAUGUUUUAUGUGAAUGCGUUUUCACGUUUAUAUUUUCUUUAUUCAAAUAUAAUUUAUAGUGGGUAUAUAAUAGUAUAUGUUUAAUGUUUAUACUGAAGGAAAGGUCAAAGAGGGCUGUUUUACGAUAUUUAACAAGUAACUGACGGUGGUGCAGUGGUUAGGUCGUGUUCAGUCACGUGGUCCUCGUGAGUUCGAUUCCCAGUUCUCCCUCAAUGAACAUUACAAUUUUUCUUUACAUUUUGUUUUUCAGCAGGUAGCUUACCCUAAAAAAAAACAGGUAGCUGGGCCGGCCCACUUCGCAUCCGUGCAAGCGCCGCGGCGCGAACCGGCGCCUACAGCGCUCAAUAGGAGCUUGCAUCGGACGCAGUGGAUCGGCCUCGACCGGAAAGAAUGGGCCUGGCCUGUCGUGGGCCGCCAAACAAAAAAAAAUGCGCCGUUGCCGGGGAUCGAACCCGGGUCACCCGCGUGACAGGCGGGAAUACUUACCACUAUACUACAGUGACUUGGAUGCUAAUGCUACCCAAUUUAUCUUACUUAGACAUAGAAUUCUCCGGAGUUAAUCGUCUCUCUUGGGCCCAAUAAGUGAGCGAGGCAGUGCUCACGGAAGAGGAGACACUCACAUAAUUUCGACCAGACAUGGAGAAGCAAUGGUUCCAAAAACAAGCAGAGCAAGGAUCUUCGGCCCCAGAAAGAAAAACAUCCCUCGGUGUAGCCUCAAGGCUCAAGCUGACUGUUGCAGCCUUUGGCGGACAAUAUUCAAGUUUCACGGCAUGGUCUCGUGUUCCUGGGGUUAAGUUCUAGCUAGCUCGGCGUCCCGCUUUGUCCCGCAAAACCUACAUGUCACCAUGUCGAGGGAGGAUGAGAACGCUCUGAACAUGAUUCGGUAUCUCUCAAUGAACCCGACACUGUUAUACCACCAGAAAACGAAUCUUCGGAUAACUUUUGGUGUUUCUAGAUGAUAAUUCAGAUACACUUGUUACUAACGAAGCCGGUGACUAUUUGGAACCUUUGAAAGGUGCGAUGUCACGGAUAUUGAUUCUACUACCACUCAACUUUAAUCCACUCACUCCAUAUUCUAUGUCGAUAUCUGUGCCCCUUCGUAUAUCUUUCAAAGAGAAUCAAAUGUACAUCAUUGCUCAUGUGUUCUACAUGCAUGCUUGUUCUUUCUUUAGUUGGUAACACUAUUUUUUUCACUAGAAAAUGAUUAUAUCUCUCAUGAGUGUUUCCUUCUUGGGUUUGUCUGCCUAGUUAAAUGUGAGGGCCGCCCCCUAAGGAAACUAUGGUAAAUAUUUCAGUAUUUAUUAGCGGGAUUAUACCAGUGCAUUGAUUAUUUGAGUGUGUUUUAUAGCAUUUUAUAUGAGGUUUUGAAUUAUCCUCUUUUUAAUAAUUAAUCAAAGAGUGCAAUAAUUGUGAUGCACACUACAACUCAUUAUUACAGUUUACUAACUGGGGUUUCCCCUACCUUGCACGUGCGAUGGUCAACGUGCUUCUCCAUCGCCUUUUUUGGCGGCAUAUCUGAAUGGUGCUCGGGUGUCCUCAGUCUCGAUAGACCAUUAGGAUAGUUCCUUCUGUGGAUGCCGACGAGAAGAUCGAGGAGGGGCGUCAUCUUCGGCUGGGAGAGAAACAGGUUUCGAUGGGAAGAAGACACAUCCUUAUGGAUUGUGUCAUGGAUGUCGGAUCACCGAUAUUCCCUCGCAUGCGGUGCCUAUCCUUGGCAUAGAGCGGAUAUCACCGUCGUUGGCAUCACCCACUUUGCUAUCAUCAGCAAGGACGACACAUAGGACAAAGAGGAGAGGUCGGGUGACGAGUGUUGCAUGGUUAUGGAGGUCACAACUGUCAUUCUCAAGCCAAAGGGAAAUUCAGUAGAGGGGUCUUGGUUGAUAGGGAGAAACAUGAAUAAAAAUAUGGGUGAACAACUACAAGAAUACUAGGAGAACAUCGAGUACCUCAUGCCGACAUCCUGUGUCUAGGAGUGGAGCCACGGGUGUCUGGUCAGUGAGGGAAGGUCAUUGGCAUCUGAUGGUUCACUAUUUGUAUGCAGGAAUCAUGGCCGGUUAGAGCAUGUUGCAUGAUGUCUUUCGUCUCCUUGUUGGGAGCACCUCACAUUGACUCCCUGGCGUUUGCUCGCUCCAGUGAGCAAACUGACCAAAACGCACAAUUCUGAUCCUACACGCUUUUUUGGGAGCGGUAGGGUGAGAAGUGGGCCCACCACGUGGGAGAGGGCGGGGCAAUUUAAACGUGAGGACGGGGGGUCUUGUUGUCGUAUGCAGGCUCACAUAAUAAUCUACGGGUAAAUCUUUUCUAUAACGAACAAACCCACACGCCACUCUCCUCUCUCCUCUCUUUCUCUCUCUCCCUCCCCCCCCCUCUCUCUCUCGUCACGCACGUUCCCCCUUCCCCUCGACAUCCACGUCGACUACGCUUGAACCGCCCAUGAUUGAGCGGUGGAUGAUGCGUUGAGACAACCGCGUGGGCUCCUACUGUGUUUCCAUCCACAUCUGAAGUCCUAGGUGUGGGCAACCAACCGCAUCCAGAUUUGGAGUCACCGCAGUUGGGCGACCAACUACAUCCAGAUCUGGAGUCCUAGGUGUGGGCGACAGCCAUUUUUCCCAGAUCUGGAGCCAACAUCAUGAUUGGCGAUGAAGGAAAGCGGCAUACUGUCUCCGAUGGCCACGUCUUACCACGACUGGCAUCGGAGAAGGUAGUUGUUGCCUCCACUUCGCCCUCUGCUAUCAACAUUGAAGAAGGUAUGGGAAGAACUCGCACUAUUUUUUCUAGAAAAAUUAAGGUAAAAAUUAGUUGAUCUCUGAGUUGUGUUUAUUUUACUUAAUUGAGGGAAAACACUAGACUUGUAUAUUACCAUAGACUGAUUGCAAUCAUUAGACAGAGGGGCAUUAAGUAUUGACGGGACACCAAUUCCCUCAAAAAAAAGAAGUAUUGAUGGGACACUAGCCAACAUCCCAAAGCCACUGUGGAGAUUGGAAUUCAUGCUCCACAUUGUUAGCAGAAAUAGCACAAAUGGUGUUACACUCAGCGCCUUUAUAAGUUUACACAAUUGUGUAGCCAGUGAGCCAGUAGCAACCUCCAGCCAAAGACCUUAACCUUCUCUGGAACCUUAGCUCUCCAAAUCACAUCCCAAAUACUCCAAUUAUAUGUCACACUUGAAGAGCUAGAAGCAGGGGAAUUGUACCUGAAUUUGAGUUGGGUGGCAAGUUUAUAAGAACGUCAUCCAUCACGUAGAAGGGUGAUUUAUACCAAAUAUCUCCUCUAAUCAAAAUCAGAAAAUAGCCUAUGGACCAGGUUAUUAUUGCAUUCAUUUUUAUCGAGAUAAUCAACUAGUUUACCCACCUCAACCUUGAGUUUCUAGCGAAUUUGGCAACCUAAGGCCAUACUGUCUCAGAAUCCAGUUGUCUCUCUGAAUCUGAAUUUUUCGUCCAUUCACUAUAUGCCAGAUGAUGCCUUCCUUGAGUAUCUUAACUCCAAGCCGAGGAUGCCUACGAGGAAAUGACCAUGUCCAGAAUAUCCCACAACGAUAAUUCUGAUUUCAAGACUCUCGAACAUAAACUAUCUGGCUUGUGAAUCAGUCUCCGCCCUUGCCUUGCCAAGAGAGCUUGGUUAAACAUAUGCAUAUCCUAGAAUCCUAGAACACCUCCUCUCUUUUGUUUUAUAAGUUGGUACCAGGAGAGCCAAUGGACUUGUGAUGUCCUUACUCAUCGCCCCACCUAAAGUCCCAGAUAAAAUUUUCAUACUUAUCACAAAAGCCCAAGGACAUUUGAACAAUCUAAAGAAGUAAUUGGGAAGCACUUGAACCACUUACUUGAUCAAGACCCCUUUAGCUGCAUGGGUCAUAUACUUUUCAAUCCAGUCCUUGCACAUUUUUGUGAACCUUUCCAUGAUUGACUAAAAUUCGAGGCAAACAUCCUACCUUCUAGGGUUGGUAAACCCAAAUAUUUACUCUCAAAAGUGGAAGCCACAACACCAAGGGUGACCUUUAUCUCUUACUGGACAUGGGGCGAGCAGUGUUCACUAAAUAAUAAAGAGCAUUUAGCUGGGCUAAGAAGCUAUCAUGUACACCUUUGAAAUAGAUUUGGAGUGUUCUUCACUACCCUCACCUCUCUUCAUACGGCCUUGAAGAACAAAAGGCUGUCAUCAAUAAGGAUUAGUUUAGAGACACCAAGGCUCCCUCAGCAAUUUUGAUAGGCAUUAACCUCCCUUCCAAGACCUGCUUUCUUAAGAUGCUUUCUCGACCAUCCGCAACCAAUAAGAUAGUGCAUUCAGUAUGUGACUAUAAUAUUCCUUCUCAGCCAGUGAGUACUGCUUAUCAUGGACCCAAAAUCUUUCAUGUCCAGGACCAAACAUCCUGUUGCAGCACUCCCAGCUUAGUGCAGUCAUCGGCCAGGGAUUUCAGUAGUCCCCUCCGGCGACGAUUAUCUUUCCCAUAUCUACUCAUACCGAAAGGAUUUCACGUUGCUAUGCACCUUGGUCUGCCUCCGUAUUGCAGCCAUAGAGGAAAGUGGUUGGAGCAUAUGUGUGUACCAUUGUUCACUCUGAAUAAAUCACACCAACCCAACGAUGCAAUUGCACUUUCAACCCAACGGUCACAUUGCUUUUGCCAUACUGUUUAUUAUCGUAUGUCCAGGAAGGCCCCUUAUAGCUCCAAUUAUGAAGAUCACACUAGAACAAGGCUUCUCUGAAAUUGGUAUUUUUCUCUCGAAUAUCCAAGCUACUGAGAAGUGCUCAUGUUGCCACAUCGUCUCAUAAAAAUCACCUAUCAUCAAGUGUUCAUGAGCAUCUGGCUUUAUUCUUUUGGGUAAACUCCAGAUGUGACGUCUUCCUUACUCCUUAGGUUCACCAUGUAGCCCGACACUUCGGGCCAUGGGAAUCAUCAUGAAUUACUCCCUUCAGUCUAUAUUACUUGUCGCUCAGACGGAUGUAUCUAGCACUGAAAUACAUCUAGAUACAUCAGUUUGAGCGACAAGUAAUAUGGAUCGGAGGUAGUAAGACAUUGAUGUACCUCAGGUCAUAUGACAGUCUUUUUUAUUUUAGUUCAUUUAUCUCAAAACAACGCAACGCACCCUUGCCCUUACCAUCAUUCACAAUACAAUUCUGGCGGCCUAGCAUCCACCUAAGAUUAUUGAAACUCUGUUCACAUUGCUGAGUUUCAGAAAGUAAAACGAUCAUCAAGUGGUAUAUGUGUGCACGAGGAAAACUAGCUCUUCAACUAUCCGGGACUGCCCGAGGCCCCAACAGUUCUAGAUCAGGCGACUCAUUUCUCCUGAUAGGUGCUUCCUUAUCACAUGUCAUUCAUCGGCAACCAAUGGGCCGAUAGCUUCCUUACCGCCUAACACACCUAUGUUGCUCAUGCCACCUCCAUUACCCUCACCUCAUGCCUUCUUGUUUAGACCAGGACUCUUCUAACUAGGUGUCACCACAAACUCACUACCAGACUCACUAUCAUGUCCCAUGCAUUUACCCAACACCGCCUCGGUGUUCACCAGGGAUUGGUCAACUUACUCCCCUGGCUUACCCUUGAGGCUAUUCUUAUCUUUGUGGUGCUUGGCUUUCGUGUUACUGGCUCCAGGGGUAUGGGAGGAGCCUUGUUGAGGUUGACUUUGCCCACUUCAUUUUCCUUGCUGGUUGCCGGACUCAUGGAGGAGGCCUGACCUUGAAUCACCUCCGCCCUCCGGGUUUAGCCCCGGCAAGGGAAGGAACCAAGUUGAUGUCGAGUUCUACCCCCUUGAUCUGAGUUGUACAUACAAGCAGCUUUGGAGUGAUUGCCGGUAUCGUGGAUGAGACCUUUCCCACCUCCUGCUGGAGUUGGGAACCCAUGACAGUCAUUGGUGGUGCAGGGGCCGACGCUAGUGUUAGCAUAAUCUUGAUUGUUUUGUUUCAAACAUGAUGUAGUUGGUGCUUGCAUGUCACGUGUCUUUAUUUCUUUGGGGACUAACCAAAGUCAUGUACUAGUAGGAGUUCACGUGUUUGAGUCAAGCUUGAGUUCAAAUAUGUAGUAUACCAUGUGAUCUAGGUUAAGUCAAUUUCCGUGUAGGACAUGGUCUCGUGGGUUGGCCGAGUAUAUAUAUUCGCUGACCGGUGCCACGGUCCACAGUCAGACAGAGUUCUCCACCGUGCAAGGCUGCCCAGGAUCAUCUUCCUUGGCCCGCCAUCAUCCCCAUUGGGGGUGACUUCCUCUGACGCGCUCAUCGCACUUUUGUUCUUGUUAGCCUGACUCUGCCAUGGAUGAUUUGGGGAUCUGAGUGUAUGUGUUUUUGGUGGAUGCGCGAUCCUGUUGUGUUUAUACUAUAUGAACAUAUGAAAUAGUUCAACGGUUUACCACUAUCAGUGUAGAACAAUAUUAGAAUUUCAAUAUUGCUUGCACUUUUUAAUUUCAAAUGUUGAUGAAAUUUAUCACGUAUCUGUGGGCCCCGAAUAGAGGUGGAGACAAGAGCCAAACCUGUUGCGCAACAUAUAUAAAUAACAUUCGGUGGAAAGAAAAAUACAGAACUUGCCUUUUCUUUUCAAAUGUUGAUGAAUUUUAUCAUGAUCAAAUUUUCUUGAGGCAGAUGCACAUUUCGAUGGCAAUAUUGUAGUCUUUGCUCUACUGUGUAUUAUGUUUAUAGUUUCUACAAACAUUUUUAUUGUGUUUGUAUAAUUAUCAUAGCUGUAGUAGUACCAAUUUAAUUAAAAUAGUGAUAGCAAUUUAUAUUAUAUAGUUAACUCAAGUCCAUUACUAAAAUUGUUGUCCUUUCAUGAUCCUCAAUGCAGAAUUUGAAGUUGAUAUCAUGCAAAACAUCAACCGGAGCUCCAACACCCCCAUCUCCGUGCACCGUGUUAUGUUUGGACCCGAAGGCUGGGCGGACCUACCACAUGGAUUAUUGCACUCCAUCAUUGUCCUGUUGGGUUCAACCCAUGACCUUCUUGCAUUCAUCGCCACCUGCCCUAGCUGGUAUGCCGCAUUCAUGUCAAUCAAUUCUACCUUAGGCGAGCUCUUCCCACCUGUUAUUUUCCGGAACUGUGCCGACCAGACAAGCUCAGCUGGCUCUAACAUUGGAAACACAUGGGAGCUCAUUGAUCCUGUAUAUCCAAGUACUCUGUUGUGUCGCUUGACCCCUCCAAG
rnacentral:lncRNA from 1 species